UUAGCAUGGCAAGGGGUGAAGCAUAUGAAAACUACCUAUCUAGGCAAGUUUAAAUGAGGCCGGAUAUAACAAACAACAAAUCCGGAAAAUCCCCAUGUGCAAAAUGUGAAUUUGGUAUUGUUCUGCCCUAAACCAUAUUUUAGAGUUGUUAAACAUGCAAGAUAAGUACAUCAUGUUAAACUAGGCAUUUUCUACCCCAUUUACAUAUAAAGUUUAUUAAAUUUGGAGCUACGGUUAUUUAGUUAUGAAAUAAAGCAUCUUAACAUGGCAUUUAUGCAAAAUAUAUGCAAACAACAUUUUAAACAUGGUUGAAAGUUAGAUAUUAUGAAACUAGACAAAAUUCUAGUCAUGUUUCAUAUAUAACUUAUUUUAAUCCGAUGCACGGUUCUGAAGUUAUUAUAUGCAUGAACAUGGAAGGGUUUUCUGCAAAAACUACAGUUCUGUGAUUAAUUAGCAAAUUCGUUCGCGAAAAAAAACAGGCACUCGGGCCNNNNNNNNNNNNNNNNNNNNNNNNNNNNNNNNNNNNNNNNNNNNNNNNNNNNNNNNNNNNNNNNNNNNNNNNNNNNNNNNNNNNNNNNNNNNNNNNNNNNNNNNNNNNNNNNNNNNNNNNNNNNNNNNNNNNNNNNNNNNNNNNNNNNNNNNNNNNNNNNNNNNNNNNNNNNNNNNNNNNNNNNNNNNNNNNNNNNNNNNNNNNNNNNNNNNNNNNNNNNNNNNNNNNNNNNNNNNNNNNNNNNNNNNNNNNNNNNNNNNNNNNNNNNNNNNNNNNNNNNNNNNNNNNNNNNNNNNNNNNNNNNNNNNNNNNNNNNNNNNNNNNNNACGCGCGACUAGCUGGGCCGCUACAACGGAAGAAGGGGAGGUGCCAAGGCUCGGUCAACGCUGGCAGGAUCCGGUUGAGCGGCGCGCUCGCUGCUGCUCGAAACAGCUGGCGGCAACGACAAGGUGGCGAGGUCGAGGCGCCGUUGGAGUGGUUGGAGGCGGCCACGAGCAGGAGGAGCUUGAGGAAGCUGGUCGAUGGGCGGCUCGGCCGCGAUGGAGAACGGCAAGGGCGGCGCUCGGAGGAGGCCAGGGACGCAGUGAUGUCCUCGCUCGAGGACUCGAGCGCGUGGACGAGGACGACUGCGGCGCUGCUGGUGGCUUGCUCGCCGAGGAUGGCGCGGGCCAUGACAGAGGAACAAGGGUGCGACAGCGGGACUCGGCGAGUCUUCGGCGCGCUGGGAUCAGGCAAAUGCGAGCAGGAAAUGGUAGAGGCAAGGUGCACCAAGGCGGAGGCAGCGGUUCCCGGCGAGGAUCAUGUCGGGCAGCAAGCAUCGAACUUCAUGGCGCGGCGGAAUGCUCCUGCUUUUGUUCGAAGGGACAUGAGGGAGAGAGCAGAGGAGGUUAGAGCGUAGUGGAGGAGCUCAGGACGGAAAAGGAGGACGGCACGAGGUGGAUCCCGGCGGCGGCUCACCGGAGGGUCGCCGGGGCUCCAUUUUGCGACGAGGUUGUGUGGGAGAGAGGCGGCAACGGCGGGGUUGAGCUCAGGCCAUGAUUUCCCUGGCUUCUGCACGGGGAGAAAACAGAGAGGUGAGAGAAUCCAGAGAGAAAGAGAAGGCAGGCAGCAGGGUCAGGAGAGGGGCAAUGGGGUAGUGGUCUGGUUCUUGUCGCCGGUGCUGGUCUCUGGCAGCAGGUUGAGAUCCUGCUCGAGGAAGGAGGCACGUGAGGGGCUGACUGCUUGUGACCGGAAAACACGGCAGGUGGUCUGAGGCGGGAGAGGAUCUAGAUCGGGUGCGCUCUGGUUGGUCUGGUGCUAAAGACGAGGUGGAGCGGUGGUUGGCCAAUGGGGAUCUGGGAGGAUCUCAAUGGAGAUGGUGAGUGGGUGGCGGCGGUGCGAUGGGAAAAGAUGGAUGGGAGAGAUCCUAGGACUAGGGUUUGGACGAAUAUAUACAUCCCGUGGAUUAGAUUAGGGGCUACCUCGUCCCUCCGAUCUGGAUUAGAUUAGGGGCUACCUCGUCCCUCCGAUCAUAAUCGGGCGGACGAGAAUAAAUAGCUUAGGGGAGCCCAACAAAGAAUCAGAGAUAUUCUGUAGAUGUUUGGGGAUGAUCCGAACCCAAGGGUGACGACUAUCCGGGUCGGGUUCGGGGGAGUUUUCGGACGCGCGUGAGAAGAGCCGCGGGCUGACGAUAGAGGGGGGUUUGACAAAAGGCCACGGAGGCAGGGGUUUGAUGGGCUGGUUUAGAGUGGAAGUGGGCUGUGAAGAGAGAAGAGAAGGAGAGCAGUCCGGCAACUGUUUCCGGAGACCGAAAACGUCCGACGAUAGACCAGCUACUAUUGCCGCUAUAGUUUAACGUUUGGGCUAUCAAACGAACUCUGAAUGCGAUGAAAUUUGACAGGCGGUCUACUGACAACAUAACAACACCGCAUGUCAACUUUCAACCCAUUCCGAGAACAUUUUCUGACCACUUAUAAAAUAAUAUUUCGGACGUGCCACAGGCGCGUGCGAGUGUGUAUGGACUCAGAACGGACAAUGGAGAGAACGAGGAGACUAGGAUGGAUGCAAGUUUUGAAAACGUGAUGAUGCAAUGCACAUGAUGGCAUGCCAAGAUGCAACACGCAAGCGAAUGACAUGGCAACAACAGCGAAUAACUGGAAGACAACUAGCACAACGGUCUCUGGGCAUUACAGGCGAGCUAGAACUGCAAGCGACUCCAGCAGGCCUAGACUUAAUCUGCAGCCUCCCCGGUGAUAUGUUGAGAGUCAUCAUCUCCCUCCUCCCAAUCAAAUAUGGGGCACGGACAACCCUGCUUUCCCGGUAGUGUCGCCCCCUAUGGAACUUCAGCCCUCUCGACCUCAUCGACACCCACGAGGUUUGUCAUGGCUAUCGCAAAAGCUUGGAUGUGUUCUCCAAGAUCCUCGGCAGUCAUAUUGGCCCAACCAAAGGCCUUAGAAUGGGCAAGUUCCAUUCCAACGGCAAGGACCGAGCCAAGCUUGACGACUUGUUCCGAUCCCCCGCCCUAGAUCAGCUCGAGGAGCUCACUUUUGAUGAUGGGCAUAUGCAGUCUCUGCUAACGUCCGCAUUCCACCUCGCGCCCGUGCCGCGCAUCGCCAAGUUCAGGAACUGCCAUUUCCCGCCCCUUAAUGACAUGCCCGCUCUUAUUGUACCACGACUGAAGCACCUCGAGCUCAUCACCGUCUGCCUAUCAAAGUGUGACAUGGAGCACAUGCUCCAUGGCUGUACUGCACUCGAGUACCUUCGUCUUCAGGUGAUCAAUGGUUUGAGUACUUUCCACAUCACCUCCAUGACUCUCUGGACUAUUUAUGUGUGUUGCUGGUGCGUCAGGAAUACAUCACAGGAUGUGUACCACGGUAUGGUCAUCCAGGACACACCUGCACUUGAGAGAUUACUUGUAGUUGAUCAAGAAGGUCCAACAAAAAUUAAUGUCAUUUAUGCGCUGAAGUAGACAGUGGUGGGCUACUCAUCUUACAAAUGCUCCGAACUUGUUAUUGGAUCCACACCAGUUUAGGUACAACAGCCGCCUUCUACCUCUCCUUCUACAAAUUAACAUUAUUUCUAAUUCUGAAGAUGUUUGUUCGUCUGUCAUUCAGAAAAUGAUUUCGACAAGCUUGAGCCCGAAACCGCGCACAGUGAAGGUUCUUUUGGACAAUUUCAGUACAUACAUGUCCCCCAUAUUGGUUACAAUCAAUAAGCACCUCUCCUUUGGAUUCAUUUGUACUAGUUUUCUUAGGGAACUUUUCAUCCACUCCAACCUCUUGUGAAGAAGGCUACAUUUUUCUAGAAUGUAAUCAAAUUCCCAUGUCAAUCAUGUCAGAUCGAAGAUGGCAUUUUAGUGCAUUUUACAAAUCCUGCAAACCAAAUAGCUAGGCCUGUAGUAAUGUUCAAAACUGCAUGUAGGCACUAACAUGUUUUCUUCUUUUGCAGAUAAGAUUAGGCCCAGUGGUGGAUAAUGUGAUACAAUAUAACAAUCACGUCGAAUUCCUAGAUCUGCAUCUCUUACUUUGAACUCCUACCAAGGGAUCUUACCAAAGAUUAUAUUCGCUAGGUUCUUUGUUCUCAGAGCAAGGGUGCUGAAGGAGAUGAGGUUUGCCCUACAUUUAUUUCGCAAAAAUGAAUGGUUAGUUGAUCAGCACCAGCGCCUGCGCUAGAAUGGAGUAGGAUCCAAAAAAUGCUGAUUUCAUUUUGGAACUUCAGAUGACAGAGUAAUCAGAAGUCAUCGUGUCAACCCCAUACAUGACUUCUCAGUGGCUGACCCCUUUGCAAAAAUUGUGAGGUUUCGAAGCCAGACUUAGAAGCGGUAAUAUUAGUUUGAACCUCUCUGAUAUCCAUGUUCAGCGGAUCAGUGCGAGUGUUUGCAGCUGAUGAGCUGAAUUUCAUUUCUAAUAUCAGUUUGAACCUUGUAAUCUUCGAAUUUGAGCCAUAUAACUCUAGAAUUUGAACCUUGUAACAUUUCGAGAUUUUGUGGUACAAUCGUUGAAAUGGCAUCGCAUGGGACUCACAUAUUGCUAGCACUAUUUUGACCUUAAUAUGCAAUGGUCUUAGAUUUGAUUAACCAUUCUCGAAUCAGUUUACCUUGUCGAUCUCACAACACACGAUCUGUAUAGCUAAAUCGACUGCGAUCUUCGGCAUUAUUGCACACAGUUGGUUUCUUCCUCCAUGUGCACUAUAGAGUGCAGAAUUAAUUAUCGCACUCGAGUGUCCAUCAUCACCCUUCAGUGUAAGUUUGACCUCAUCACCCAAGGGUAAACUUAUGACCGAAGUCAUUCAACACACUUCAUUUUUACAAAGCUUUUUGCCAAUAAACGCCCACGAUUUGUCCCUCUUCUAGCCGACGUGGCCAAACUAGCCGGGCGGGAAGCUUGCGCGGUAAACAGCGCGGUAGCGCAGGAACAGGCUCACCAAUGAUACAUUCGGCGCCUCUUCGAGCCCACGCGUGCGGUGUGGUGUUGUCAAGCGUACACUAGAAUCCUCCGCUAUGAACAUCGUGACAAGACGUGAUGAUUACAGGCCGGCCGGCCCCCAUUUAUUACAACAGCCAUUUAACCUACUCUUGUGUCUCUUCAACCUUUCGAUCGCGCCCCACCAUUGCAAGAAGCACACCCACCACGAGAAAUUCUUAGAGGGUAUCCUACGCGGCUCCAAUGGCGCUUCGAGCGGCUGCCCGCGACGAGCAGCAGUUCACCAUGCGUGUCAUGGUGGACACCCACAUAAGGUUCAUGGACCUCUCGGUGGUCUACACCAACGACCCAGUCUGGGUGGAGCACUCCAUCCACCUCAUGGAGCUAUUGCUUACCGCGGAGAAGUAUAAGGUGGUCGGGUUCGACCUCGAGUACACCCGCGCUCAUGCCGGGUCUCGUCCCAAGGUCGCUGUCGCCCAGAUGUGCGUGCGCCACCAUGUCCUCGUCUACCACUACUGCCUGGCCACAAGGCCUUGCAAGCAUUUCGCCAGGUUUGUCAACAUCCCCCACUACAUGUUCGCUACGGAGGACAUCACCAACGAUGUAAAGGCGCUUGAGAAUACGGCAUCGUCUGCCGGAAUCUUGUCGACAUCCAGGGCCAAUACAAGAUCUGGGGUAGCAAGGAGCAUGAGAAGGACUCACUAUUUCACCUCGUUGAGGCCAUCAUCGACCCCUACUAUAGAGACAUGAAGGAUUCGUGCAACAAGGACAAGUGUGCCUGGCACUCGGCCUGGAUGGAGAAUCUCGACAAAGCUCACAUCAUGUACGCGGCCAAGGAGGCAUACACGAGCUACGACAUGUACAGGCGGAUCGUUGACAUGAGGAAGUGCCUCCUUCCCCAAAACAGCUAGGGAUCCAGCCGGAAGCAGAGCAAUGACAAGCAUCGUCACAACAAUAAGUAGAUGAUUAGAUCCUCGUUUCUCCUACUUUAGUAUGCAUGUAAUUGCUUUCUUUGGUGUGUGGAAAUGUUAUGUGUGUAGUCACUUGUGUAAUUGUAUUCUUAAUUUGGUUAUGCAAUGAUGUCAUUUUAAGUAUAUAUGUUGAUGCUCUGUAGAUAGAGCGUAGAUGUUGUGCGGACAAAGAAAAUCACAUCGCACACAGACUAAACAACGGAACCCGUCGGUGAUGUUUUCAUCAAUCGCUCAAAAUUGUAUACCAGCAAUCGUUUGCUCACAACACACACGGCUUGUUACCAGUAAUCGUCUGUGUUGUUAUCAAUCUUCGCACUUGUUUCCGAUUACAGACCUGUUUGCCUCGUAUCACACACAUCUUGUUCAUUUGAACUGUUUCUGUUCUCAUGUCUCAAUGCAAACAAUUCAUCCGAGUGAAGCGCAUACCGUAUAUCGCACACACCUUUGAUCUGGCUGGCCAUUUCUUUUUUGUUGCAUAAUUACAAAAAGCUCAUCUGAGUGAACCGUAUGCUGUACAUCGCACACACCUUCAUCUGGCUGCCCGUUUCUUUUGUUCCUCCUCAUCGCAAACGGUUAACUAAACUGAACCGUAUGCCCUCAAUCACACACGCAACUAAAUUUUGAACCGUGCUUGAUGCAUCCUCCAUCGCAAACGCUUUGCACCUUUUUGACGGUUUUUUACAUCACCGUUUGCGAUUACGGCAUCACACACAAUUUCGUCGAAGGGUCUCUGAUCGUAGUGUUGCGUUAGCAGCAUCCUGAAGUAGUGGCAAUUCAAGAAGUUUACCACAGAAUCUUGUUCAUAAGUAUUGCCUUUAUUCUACAUUUUGUUAAGAGUAAAUAUAGAUGUGAUAAUAUAAGAAAAAAUGGAGAAUAUUUAAGAUAAGAUGAAGAGUGAUGAUACAUAACCAAGUAGCUAUAAAUGUAAGUACAGUGAUGCAGGAAAAAGGUACAACCAAGAGCAAUGCAGAGCUAAACUUCUUCACUACCAUCGGUGUUAUCCAACCUUAUGGUAAGAGUAAAUAUAGAUCUGAUGUGUAGAAAAUGGAGGGCAAAGGAAAAUAAGCUACAGAGUGACGGUACAUGAACAACUAGCUGUCAAUAUAAGUACACUAAUCAGAUCUCCAGGUGGGCGAGGUUGUAGGAUGACCUGAAAGCCUCGUUUGAACAGUCUAUCGACGUCAUCCGACAACUAAAUGGGAGCAAUGCGAAGCUCCGGGCCGAUCGCGACCUACUGAGGGCGAAUAUCGUUGAAAGUGCGGAGCAGCAGGAGCAGACCAGUGCCUCGUUGAAGAGGACCGGCAUCAUCAUCGAGAAACUUAUGGACGAGAAUGCCAUGCUAUGCAUCGAGCACAGAAGGCUAGUGGAGGAAUUUGUGGAUGCUCUCAAGCAGCAUCUAGAGGACAAGAAGGAGCUCGUCGCCCCUCGCCGCGGAGACUAGUUCCCACGGCCUGCAGCAAUGCACUAAGAAAGUAGAGAUCAGCGAGCCAGAUCAUUGUCUUCCUUCUUCUUUUGCCCUUGUGUAUUUCGGGUGUUGCCGCAUGUGGCUUUUUAAAUUAUGUUUGUAAAUAUGUAAGACAAUUAUUAUCCACUGUCAUCGUCCUUAUAUUCAUCAUGCUUGCUAUAAGUCGCAGUCGAUGCUAUAUAGGUCCGUCGGAUCUUACAUCAAGAUCCGUGCAAAACUUUCUUUUCAGAUUUUCAUUUUUCUCUCUUAAAUCUCAGUGUAGUGAGACAUAUAGCCACACCAUAGAACAUGUGCUCGGGUGCCAUUAAUGGAGAUGUUCGGAGGGAGGUGCGUGGCUGGUAGCGGUCAAAGGGCUCUCCUCCCGAUGAGCACGCGUAGGGGUCUAAUCGCACACCUCCCGUACUCAAAUAGCUACCCCGCACGACAACUCCUAGCCAAUAAAAAAGGGGACGCAUGGCCGCACAUAAUUGGCAAGUAGAACGCCUAUGGUUUCAAUAAUACUUGUGUUUCCGAUUUGUAACAUGACAUCACUUGUUCCAAAAUUACUUUGUUGAUUGUUAAUGUGUGCGCCUUCACAAAUCGGACAGAAAAAUUACCAUAGCAUGUUUGUGCCAUGUCAUGACACCAUGCCAAGUUUCAUGAUUUUCAGGCGUGUUUUCGAUUUACAGGAAUUAAAAAACCAGGUUUCUCAAUCUUUCUGGCCGAGCCAUGACGCUCAGAUGUUUGAAUUUCACUCCUAUCUCUUGCAUGGGACCUAGAAAUUCACCCAAGGACACACAUGUGAUUUUUCAAACAACUUUGGUGCACUGGAGCAUGUGCUUGUAGUUCAAAUUUGAAUUAUGCACAUUAAAUGUGCAUAAACUCAAUUAAUGUAUAAAUAGGCCAAACGAACCCGAAAUAUUUCCAAAAUUUAGCAAGGUACUUCUAUUUGGUCUAAUCUGCCUGUGUCAAAAAAUUAAGGCGGGAGAAGGCAGUGUACGUAUGUCGUUUCGCACACGGAGGUGACAUGUUCCCUCUCGGAACCGCGAUCCUUCUUGAGGGAAGCUCCAGUUUGCAAGAAGCUUACACCAAAGCUUGUUCCAAUUCGGCCAAAAAAAAUUACCGCAUCAUGUUGGUGCCAUGUCAUGACACCAUGCCAAGUUUCAUGAUUUUUCAAGCGUGUUUUGGAUUUACAGGAAUUAAAAAACCAAGUUUCACAAUCUUCCCGGCUGAGCCACGACACCCAGAUUUUGAAUUUCACUCCCAUCUCUUGCAUGGGACCUAGAAAAUCGCCCAAGGACACACAUGUGAUUUUUCAAACAACUUUGGUGCACUGGAGCCUCUGCUUAUAGCUCAAAUUUGAAUUAUGCACAUUAAAUGCGCAGAAACUCAAUUAAUGUAUAACAAAGGCCAAACGAACCCGGAAUAAUUCCAAAAUUUAGCAUGGUACUUCUAUUUGCUCUAAUCUGCGAGUGUAAAAAAUUAAGGCGAGAGAAGGCAGUGUACGUAAGUCGUUUAGCACACGGAGGUGACACGUUCCCUCUCAGAACCACGAGCCUUCUUCAGGGAAGCUCUAGUUGCAAGAAUCUUACACCAAAGCUUGUCCCAAUUCGGCCAAAAAAAUUACUACAGCAUGUUGGUGCCAUGUCAUGACACCAUGCCAUGUUUCAUGAUUUUCAUGCAUGUUUUGGAUUUACAGGAAUUAAAAAACCAAGUUUCUCAAUCUUUUCGGGUGAUCCACGACGCCCAGAUGUUUGAAUUUCACUCCCAUCUCUUGAAUGGGACCUACAAAUUCACCCAAGGACACAUAUGUGAUUUUUCAACCAACUUUAGUGCACUACAGCCUGUGCUUGUAGUUCAAAUUUGAAUUAUGCACAUUAAAUGCGUAGAAAUUCAAUUAAUGUAUAAAAAAGGCCAAACGAACCCGGAAUAAUUCCAAAAUUUAGCACGAUACUUCUAUUUGGUCUAAUCUGCUAGUGUAAAAAAAUUAAGGUGGGAGAAGGCAGUGUACAUAUGUCAUUUCGCACACGGAGGUGACACGUUCCCUCUUGGAGCCACAAGCCUUCUUGAGGGAUGCUCCGGUUUGCAAGAAGCUUACACCAAAGCUUCUCCCAAUUCGGCCAAAAAAUUACCGCAUCAUGUUGGUGCCAUGUCAUGACACCAAGCCAAGGUUCAUGAUUUUUAGUCGUGUUUUCGAUUUAUAGGAAUUAAAAAACCAAUUUUCUCAAUCUUCCCGGCCGAACCACGAUGCCCAGAUGUUUGAAUUUCACUCCCAUCUCUUGCAUGGGGCCAAGAAAUUCACCCAAGGACACACAUGUGAUUUUUCAAACAACUUUGGUGCACUGGAGCCUAUGCUUGUAGUUCAAAUUUGAAUUAUGCACAUUAAAUGCCCGAAAACGCAAUUAAUGUAUAAAAAAGGCCAAACGGACCCGAAAUAAUUCCAAAAUUUAGCACGAUACUUCUAUUUGGUCUAAUCUGCCAGUGUACAAAAAUUAAGGUGGGAGAAGGCAGUGUACGUAUGUCGUUUCGCACAGGAAGGUAACACGUUCCUUCUCGGAACAAUGAGCCUUCUUGAGGGAUGCUCUGGUUUGCCUGAAGCUUACACCAAAGCUUGUCCCAAUUCGGCCAAAAAAAUUACCGUAGCAUGUUGGUGCCAUGUCAUGACACCAUCCCAAGUUUCAUGAUUUUCAAGCGUGUUUUGGAUUUACAGGAAUUAAAAAACCAAGUUUCUCAAUCUUUCCGGGUGAUCCACGACGCCUAGAUGUUUGAAUUUCACUCCCAUCUCUUGCAUGGUACCUAGAAAUUCACCUAAGGAUACAGAUGUGAUUUUUCAAACAACUUUGGUGCACUAGAGCCUGUGCUUGUAGUUCAAAUUUGAAUUAUGCACAUUAAAUGCGCAGAUACUCAAUUAAUGUAUAAAAAAGGCCAAACGAACCUGGAAUAAUUCCAAAAUUUAGCACGAUACUUCUAUUUGGUCUAAUAUGCCAGUGUAAAAAAAUUAAGGCGGGAGAAGGCAGUGUACGUAUGUCGUUUCGCACACGGAGGUGACACAUUCCCUCUCGGAACCAUCAGCCUUCUUGAGGGAUGCUCCGGUUUGCAAGAAGCUUACACCAAAGCUUGUCCCAAUUCGGCCAAAAAACUUACCACGGCAUGUUUGUGCCAUGUCAUGACACCAUGCCAAGUUUCAUGAUUUUCUAGCGUGUUUUGGAUUUAUAGGAAUUAAAAAACCAAGUUUCUCAAUCUUCCGGUCGAACCACGACGCACAGAUGUUUGAAUUUCACUCCCAUCUCUUGCAUGGGACCUAGUAAUUCACCCAAGGACACACAUGUGAUUUUUCAAACAACUUUGGUGCACUGGAGCAUGUGCUUGUAGUUCAAAUUUCAAUUAUGCACAUUAAAUACGCAGAAACUCAAUUAAUGUAUAAAAGGCCAAAGGACCCCGAAAUAAUUCCAGAAUUGAGCACAAUACUUCUAUUUGGUCUAAUCUGCCAGUGUAAAAAAUUAAGGCGGGAGAAGGCAGUGUAUGUAUGUCAUUUCGCACACGGAGGUGACACGUUCCCUCUCGGAACCAUGAGCCUUCUUGAGGGAAGCUCCAGUUUGCAAGAUGCUUACACCAAAGCUUGUCCCAAUUCGGCCAAAAAAAUUACCGCAGCAUGUUGGUGCCAUGUCAUGACACCAUGGCAAGUUUCAUGAUUUUCAGGCAUGUUUUGGAUUUACUGGAAUUAAAAAAAUAAAGUUUCUCAAUCUUUCCAGCUGAGCCACGACGCCCAGAUGUUUGAAUUUCACUACCAUCUCUUGCAUGGGACCUAGAAAUUCACCCAAGGACACACAUGAGAUUUUUCAAACAACUUUGGUGCACUCGAGCCUAUGCUUGUAGUUCAAAUUUGAAUUAUGCACAUUAAAUGUGCAGAAAUUCAAUUAAUGUAUAAAAAAGGCCAAACGAACCCGGAAUAAUUCCAAAAUUUAGCACGAUACCUGUAUUUGGUCUAAUCUUCCAGUGUAAAAAAAUUAAGGCGGGAGAAGGUAGUGUACGCAUGUCAUUUCACACACGGAGGUGACACGUUCCCUCUCUGAACCACGAGCCUUCUUGAGGGAUGCUCUGGUUUGCAAGAAGCUUACACCAAAGCUUGUCCCAAUUCAGCCAAAAAAAUUACUGCAGCAUGUUGGUGCCAUGUCAUGACACCAUGCCAAAUAUCAUGAUUUUCAGGCGUGUUUUGGAUUUACAGGAAUUAAAAAAUCAAGUUUCUCAAUCUUUCCGACCAAGCCACAAUGCCCAGAUGUUUGAAUUUCACUCCCAUCUCUUGCAUGGGACCUAGAAAUUCACCCAAGGACACACAUGUGAUUUUUCAAACAACUUUGGUGCACUGGAGCUUGUGCUUGUAGCUCAAAUUUGAAUUAUGCACAUUAGAUGCCCAGAAACUCAAUUAAUGUAUAACAAAGGCCAAACGAACACGGAAUAAUUCCAAAAUUUAGCACGAUACUUCUGUUUGGUCUAAUCUACCAGUGUACAAAAAUUAAGGCGAGAGAAGGCAGUGUACGUAUAUCGUUUCGCACACGGAGGAGACACGUUCCCUCUCGGAACCAAGAGCCUUCGUGAGGGAAGCUCCGGUGUGCAAGAAGCUUACACCAAAGCUUGUCCCAAUUCGGCCAAAAAUUUACUGCAGCAUGUUGGUGCCAUGUCAUGAUACCAUGCCAAGUUUCAUGAUUUUCAGCCAUGUUUUGGAUUUACAGGAAUUAAAAAACCAAGUUUCUCAAUCAUUCCGGCCGAGCCACGACACCUAGAUGUUUGAAUUUUAUUCCCAUUUCUUGCAUGGGACCUAUAAAUUCACCCAAAGACACACAUGUGAUUUUUCAGCAAACUUUGGUGCAUUGGAGGAUGUGCUUGUAGUUCCAAUUUGAAUUAUGCACAUUAAAUGCCCAUAAACUCAAUUAAUGCAUAAAAAUACCAAACGAACCCGGAAUAAUUCCAAAUUUAAACACGACACUCAUGUACUAGUUGCAUGUUCAUUGUACGUAAAUGUUCUAUCAAUUGAAACACCAUCCUUUCCCAUUGUACGUAAAUGUAUUUCAAAACAUAAUGAACAAAAAUUAGGUAUACCACAAACAGUUUACUAGAAAGAAUCGUGUGGGUGCGAUAUAAAAUAUCUUGGCGCACCGUCUUGUCUAGCUUACGCGGGAACCUUCGUUGUCUACAGUCCACCGCCCCCGCUUGAACCACACUUGCGUGCUAGUUUCUCGCGGCACCGAGCAAAAUUUUUUGGCCACAGCAGAAAUAUCUAUCUCCCCGCCCCUCCCUCCUACCAAAAUCCACAUUUCCACUGUUCCUCCUUGCUUUCCAAGUUCAAACCUUCACUGUUGCUUACUGGCAGCUCAGCCUCCUCGUCGGCGACCCUUCUUCUUGCAACGCCGCCUCCUCGCCGGCUACCCUUCUUCUUGCAGCGUCGCCUCCGCGCCGGCGACCCUUCUUCUUGCAGCGCCGCCUCCUCGCCGGCGACCCUUCUUCUUGUUGCGCGGCCUCCUCGCCGCCGACCCUUCUUCUUGUUGCGCGGCCUUGUCAAUAUGGUCAGGUAAUCCACACCCCACCCACACCAUCCUCCUCCUUUCCCGUCCCACAUGCCCUGACCGACGAAGCGACACCUUCCGAAAUCACUGCCACCCUCCUCCAAUUAAGUGCCGCCCACAACCAUUUUACAUGCAGUAUAACGUGGAGCUGAGUAGCAUGCGGCCGCACACGCGAACGAGGUCGCUAUGGCUGACAUGCGUGUCGACCGCUAGAUCUUGGAGGAGCACCUCGUCUUCGAGGCCACCGUCGACACCGCCCUGCGGUUGUCUACUUUAAAAUACAGUUCGUGAUGUUCUCUCGAGGCCACCGCCAGUGCCUUCUAGUGAUUUGUCCUCUGUAAUGUUAAUAUGCAAUCUGAAGUUCAGUUAACGGUUUGGUCCUCUGAAAUGUAAUUUUCAAUUAACACUUUGGUCCAACAAUUGCUACAUUUCGUAGUAUUGUUCUCAAGCAUUCUUUGUGUUGUUAACUGUCUUAUCUUCUAGUACAUGUGUUCUAUUCUGCAAUGCCCUGCUCAGUUAACUAUUUUGGUUCAUUUGGUCUGCUGUCCAUUUAACUGUUUGGUUUAGUUCUGCAAUUUGAUUUUCAUUUGUUGUGGGUACAAUUUUGUAUUUUUAUACAUGUGACACCAAUCGAAUUUGGAUGUACUCAAUACAUAUUCUACUAAUAGUAUGGCAACUCUCAGUUAACCUGAUCAAGAUCUUCCUUAUAUGUGUUGCAGGGAAACAAUGGGAGACACUGUGGUUUACCAUCGAGGUUUGUUCAAGCAGGGUCCUUUGGCUAAUAGCACAAUAUUGUGCAGUUGUAGGAAUGAUUCUAAUAUUUAGGUUUCUUACAAUUUGGUCUUGCACAUGUAGGGCCUGCUGUCAGAGGCUUAGAACCAUUGUUCGACCCAUUUUGCAUAUGGGGAAAUGAGAUGUCCAUGAAUAUCAGUCAAGUUAAGAAACUCAGAAAGAUUGUUAGGAUGAAGAAACUUGUGACGAAUAACAGCAAGAUCUUUAAUUGCAUAAUGAAGAAGACAUCAGUCAACUAUAGGAUGGUACCAACUCUUUUACCUUGUUUUUACCCCUUGCGCCUUUUCAAAAUUUACAACAACGAUUUAUCCAUAGCUUUGUUUCCAGUACUUUUCAAACAGUUCACCGAUGAUUACCACUCAAACCACCUGCAUGGUCAAGAGGCGAGGAAGGUAUUCAUUCAACACCCACGGUACAAUCUUGAAGUCUUGCUGAAGAGGACGAAUGUUGGGCGGGCAAUUAUCCAUAGCCACUGGCCUAAAGUUGCAAGGACAUUCAACAUCACUGAAGGCUCAAUAUUUGCCUUCCGGUUCUGCAGUUUCUCAGAUGAGAUUCAUCUGUCUAUUUACCGUGUAUGAUGCUACAUUCCAAAGAUUUUUGAUGCUACAUGUGAAACUUGGUGCUGUUGUGUAUUGGCGUAACUGAGUGUCGAAGCUAUCUGAUGUAAUUCGAUUAUGAAAUCCUAGUUGCUUUUAUAUGGAUAUGAAAUAUCUGGCAUGUUUUAUAAGAAAUAUCAGUUUUAUUAGUACAUGAAUUAUCAAUAAUAGGCUAAUUACCCGACUUAUUGGGGUUUUCUAUUGCAGACGGUUACUCAGACAGCACCAUGGGUGAUGAACUCAAACAACCCGCACGGUUUGUAGAAAGUAGGCGUGUUCGAUCAACUAACAACCACACACGGCUUCCGGCAGCAAACUGUUUGCGUUAGGCCACCUUGCACAAACGUUUCCACACAAAGAACUGUGUGUGAUGUACAUACGAACGAAAACAUUUUCCCUGAUUGACCGUGUGGGGUGUACAUAAGAACAGAAACGAAUUCCUUGGAUUGACUGUGUGUUAUAUACAUACCUACGGAAAUGUUUUUCUGGGAUUCACCGUGUGGGAUGUACAUACCUAUGGAAAUGAUUUUCUCGGAUUACCGUGUGGGACGUACAUACGUACGGAAAUGAUUGUGUUUCGAUGCCUCUCCCGAUCGCACACGGCCCCAGCCUGGUUCCCAGGAGGGCCUAUCCAUGAUGAUUUCUGGGUCGUGUGGGAAGGACACCCUAUCGCACACACUCACUUGGCGACGGUUCCAAAUGCCGUCGCGGAAAGGGGUUAAAAACCGUUUGUUUAGCACGUCGUUGUACCAGUGCAAGCUUAAUUCCUACUUGUCCUCGAGUAGUUAAAUGAUAAAAGAAAUAAUUUAUGAAGUGUGAUUGCUAGCAAAGUGCACACGUUUCAUCAAUGAUAAUUUCAAUCACUUUUUCUAGCAUCAUAAUAGCAAUUAUUUCUCAAAAAACUUCUCAUGUUAAAGUAGAAACCAAUUCACAUGUUAAGGUUCAAACAAUGAAUUCUCUUGAAACUCAACAACCUAUAUUCAUAGUCACCAAACAAUUGCAAUUCAACUUAUUCAACAAAGUCUAAGAAAUAGCUCCACAUACUCAAUCAUCAUAUAAUUCCAUGAUUGCAACUACUCAAAGCAUAUUUUUAUAACAAAUGGCAUCCACCGAACACAGAGAAAGAUAGGGUCUUAAUAUUUUGCCUCCAAACUCAUUUAUCAUAGAGAUAAUUGUCAACAAUAAUAAAUCAUGAUCAAAUAUAUUUGACUGGUCAUAUAUGCCUGAUACGUCUCCCACGUAUCUAUAAUUUUUGAUUGCUCCAUGCUAUAUUAUCUACUGUUUUGGACUAUACUGGGCUUUAUUUUCCACUUUUAUAUUAUUUUUGGGACUAACCUAUUAACCGGAGGCCCAGCCCAGAAUUGCUGUGUAACACCCCGGAUGUAAUUUACCUUAUCUGUAUCCCAACUCUUGCCGUUUCCGGCACUAAGUUAUUUUAUUUCCUCGUUGUCGGGUUUUUUUCUCCGUGUGUUGUUGUCUUUGUCAUGCAUCUCAUAUCAUGUCAUCAUGUGCAUUGCAUUUGCAUACGUGUUCGUCUCAUGCAUCCGAGCAUUUUCCCCGUUGUCUGUUUUGCAUUCCGGCGCUUGUAUGUCACCCGGUGUCCCUUUCUACCUCUUUUCGUGUGCGGGUGUUAAACGUUUUCGGAUUGGACCGAUACUUUUCAUGCGGCCUUGGUUUACUACCGGUAGACCGCCUGUCAAGUUUCGUGCCAUUUGGACUUCGUUUGAUACUCCAAUGGUUAACCGAGGGACCGAAAAGGCCUCGUGUGUGUUGCAACCCAACACCUCUCCAAACUGGCCCAAAACCCACCUAAACCUCCUCCAUCAUCUAGAGCGUUCGAUCACGAUCGCGUGGCCGCAAACCGCACCUCAUUUGGAGCUUCCUAGCUCCUCCUACCUCUAUAAAUAUAUCCCCUCCCCGAAAUCCCGGAUCUCCUCUUCGAAACCCUAGCCCCCUCUUCCUUCGCGCGCUGGACACGUCCGCCGCGUCUCCUCGCCCAAUCUCCGCCUGCCACAAGGCGCAUCGGUGCCUACUUCACUGUCGGCCCGUCCGGCCUGCAUUAGGCCCCACGGCCCGAAGCCACCGCCGCCCGCUCCCCACUCCCUGCGUCCCCGCCGCCCGAGCAUCACUGGGCCGCCCCGCCAUCGACGCCGGCCGCCGCCACCGGAGCUCCGCCGCCUAGUUUGCGGGACCCCGCCGCCAAGCUCGCCGACCGCCACCCCGUCACCCUGGCGCCGCCCCGCGCCCGCCGGCAGCCUCCUCCGCCGCCCCGUGCCGGGAUCCGNNNNNNNNNNNNNNNNNNNNNNNNNNNNNNNNNNNNNNNNNNNNNNNNNNNNNNNNNNNNNNNNNNNNNNNNNNNNNNNNNNNNNNNNNNNNNNNNNNNNNNNNNNNNNNNNNNNNNNNNNNNNNNNNNNNNNNNNNNNNNNNNNNNNNNNNNNNNNNNNNNNNNNNNNNNNNNNNNNNNNNNNNNNNNNNNNNNNNNNNNNNNNNNNNNNNNNNNNNNNNNNNNNNNNNNNNNNNNNNNNNNNNNNNNNNNNNNNNNNNNNNNNNNNNNNNNNNNNNNNNNNNNNNNNNNNNNNNNNNNNNNNNNNNNNNNNNNNNNNNNNNNNNNNNNNNNNNNNNNNNNNNNNNNNNNNNNNNNNNNNNNNNNNNNNNNNNNNNNNNNNNNGGAUCCGCCAUCUCCGGCGAGGUCCACCUCUCUCCUCGCCAUCCUCGGCGAGUCCCGCGCCAGCGAACCUCGGAUUCCGUGCCCGUUGACUUUUACCUCGAGGGUAUAUUUUUCCUAAGUCCUGAGAUUUCCUAAUUCAUAUGCAUUUUCCAUCGCAUCACAACUUGCUCACCAUGGCUCUGAUUCAUGCGUGUAACAUAUCAAAAUGUUCGUCUCGACGAGUACAUCGUUUCAUCUCACUGCAUCAUUUUCAUUUGAGCUCAUCGUGAUGCCCGAAAUGUCGUUGGAAGAGGGCUAUGUGAUGAUUAUGUCGGAUCUGUUUCAGCAAAUAGCCUUUUGUCUUUUUUGCCAUGAUUAAUGUGUGCAUGCUAUGAUCCUGAGCUCUACAUGUGUUUUGUUGAAUGCCAUGUUAUCUUUACAGGGGUGUAUGCCAUGUAUUUUUGUGAUAUUUGUGGUGAUUAGAACAAGCUUGCAAAGUAGCAUAAUCGUUGAUGCUGAUUUCAGGGACUUAGAAUUUCUCUAAGUCCUUGUCCUGAUAUUGUUGUUAUGCCAUAUGUUCAUGUUGUUUCCUAGUGAUCUGUGCCUCUUUUGAGGAUGAUCAGUAAGGAUGUUUUGUUAAUAUUUUGGUGCUCUAUCCAUCCAUGUCUUUGUUUGCAUGUAUGGAGCAGCCUAGCUUGAGUCAAUCGAGCUCUACUUUUGCUAUAAAAUGAUCCUGGCAGAUUGUUGACAUGUUUAGCGAUUUUGCCGAGGAUGUUGCUAUUGAUCCGUGCAUGCUAUGUUGUUAUUCUUACCAUGUCUAGCUUCUAUUCCAUGUCUUAUUCACGAUUGUAUUCUUAGUUUGUCAUGCCAUCCUCUGUAGUGAGUGCAUCGAGCUUGUAAACAUGCCUACUCGUUGACUGAUUUGCAUGCUCCAGUUUUUCACCAAGUCUGAAUCUGUUUGUGUUUUUGUUAUGUUCACAUGCUGGCAAUUGUAUUAUCUGAUCCCUUUUGGCUCAAGGUCACUAAGGGACUUUUGUUAAGUGCCUUGAGUAGCUUCAUGCCGUGCCUUGCUUUGCCAUGAUAAGUUCCUGUAGCAUGUAGGUUUCAUGCUCUAAAGAUUGCUUCCUGAUGAUAAAUUCCAGACUUGUGUUAAUUUCACUAAGUCUGAAACCUGUUAUCAUUUGCACUUUUGCCAUGCUUGUUUGAACCUGUUAGUUGAUGAAUUAGCCAUAGCUUAGUGUACAUCUUUUGUCAAGCAUCGUGAGUGUAUCCCUGCCAUGUAGUUUGUUGUCAUGUUUGCAUGCUUUAGCAUAUUUAUCUUGAUGCAUUUAGUUGGUCACUUGCUGAUUAUCGCAGACUGGUGCCAUUUUUGUUUUGCUUGCCAUUUCCAAACCGUGCAUCCGAUUCCGGUGAUGUUUAUAUCGAUUUCAACCGAAAUCAACUCCCCUUUCCAGUGGAACUCUUGGAUUUCCAAGUUGAGGCCAUGUUAAAUCAUUCCUUGUCAAAUCAUGCAUAUGCAUCACAUAUCGCAUCCCGCAUAUCAUAACAUGUUUGCAUCAUAUUGCUUGAGCAUUGCACGUGGUUGAUUGUGCUCCUUUUGCUUGUUGUUCUUGUUUGGGUAGAGCUGGGAGACGAGUUCGUGCAUGAGGAGCCCGUUGAGUUCGCUUACGAGGAUCAAGGCAACUCUGAGUACUUUGCAGGUAAGAUGACCAUACCCUCGAAAUCACUUCUAUCUUUGCUUGCUAGAUGCUCGCUCUUUUGUUAUGCCUAUGCUACGACACCUACCACUUGCUUAUCAUGCCUCCCAUUUUUCCAUGUCAAAACUCUAACCCACCAUGUCCUAGCAAAUCGUUGUUUGGCUAUGUUACCGCUUUGCUCAGCCCCUCUUAUAGCGUUGCUAGCUGCAGGUUAAGAUUGGAGAUUGUUCCUUGUUGGAACAUUGUUUAUUGUUGGGAUAUCACCAUAUUAUCUUGUUUAUCUUAAUGCACCUAUAUACUUGGUAAAGGGUGGAAGGCUCGGCCUUUUGCCUAGUGUUUUGUUCCACUCUUGCCGCCCUAGUUUCCGUCAUAUCGGUGUUAUGUUCCUGGAUUUUGCGUUCCUUACACGUUUGGGUUAUAAUGGGAACCCCUUGACAGUUCGCCUUGAAUAAAACUCCUCCAGCAAUGCCCAACCUUGGUUUUACCAUUUUCCACCUAGCCUCUUUUUCCCUUGGGUUUCCGGAGCCCGAGGGUCAUCUUAUUUAAACCCCCCGGGCCAGUGCUCCUCUAAGUGUUGGUCCCCCUCGUCAACCGCCGGUGGCCACCAGGGGCAACUCUAGGCUGGCCUACCGGAAGUUUGGACAAUCUGAGUGUGCCCUGAGAACGAGAUAUGUGCAGCUCCUAUUGGGAUUUGUCAGCACAUUCGGGCGGUGUUGCUGGACUUGUUUUACCAUUGUCGAGGAUGUCUUGUAACUGGGAUGCCAAGUCUGAUCGGAUUGUCUUGGGAGAAGGAAUAUCCUUCGUUGACCGUGAGAGCUUGUGAUGGGCUAAGUUGGGACUCCCCUGCAGGGAUUUGAACUUUCGAAAGCCGUGCCCGCGGUUAUGGGCAGAUGGGAAUUUGUUAAUGUCCGGUUGUAGAUAACAUGAAACUUAGCUUAAUUAAAAUGCACCAACCGCGUGUGUAACCGUGAUGGUCUCUUCUCGGUGGAGUCCGGGAAGUGAACACGGUGUUGGAGUAAUGCUUGACGUAGGUUGUUCUAGGAUCACUUCUUGAUCGUAGUUGUCCGUCCGUGCUUUGCCUUCUCUUCUCGCUCUCUUUUGCGUAUGUUAGCCACCAUAUAUGCUAGUCGCUUGCUGCAGCUCCACAUCAUGCCUUUACCUUACCUAUAAGCUUAAAUAGUCUUGAUCGCGAGGGUGUGAGAUUGCUGAGUCCCCGUGACUCACAGAUUCCUUCCAAAACCAGAUGCAGGGACCGAUGAUACUAUUCCAGAUGACAUGACCGAGCUCAAGUGGGAGUUCGAUGAAGACUCUCGCCGUUACUACGUGUCCUUCCCAGAUGAUCAGUAGUGGUGCCCAGUUGGGGCGAUCGGGGACUUUGUCGCAUUUGGGGGUGGGUCUGUAUUUUGGUACCGUAGUCGGACCAUGAGUGUAUUGGAUGAAUGUAAUGUUAUUCAUGUAUUUGUGUGACGUGGCGAGUGUAAGCCAACUAUGUAUAUUUUCCCCUUUAUUUAUAUUACAUGGGUUGUUUGCGAAGAUUACCUCACUUGCGACAUUGCUUUCAAUGCGGUUAUGCCUCUAAGUCGUGCUUUGACACAUAGGAGAUAUAGCCGCAUCGAGGGCGUUACAAGUUGGUAUCAGAGCCUUCCCCGACCUUAGGAGCCCCCCUGCUUGAUCGAAUCGCUGGCAUUGUUGAGUCUAGAAAAAUGUUUUGAGUCAUCUAGGAUUAUAUAUAUCGGAGAUUUUAGGAAUUCUUUUUACUCCCCAGUCCCUUCGUCGCUCUGGUGAGGCAUCCUGACGUAGAGUUUUGACUCUUCUCUUCUCAAAUUUCACUAAAAAAAUUUUAGGAUCACGCGGGUAUCUUGGAAUCAUUCCGAUGGUUUUGUGACGAGAACAUUGUUCUUUGUGCCUCCUGUCAUUUAGGGGUUGUGGCAGUGUCCCGGGGAGUUGAGCUCCGAGGUGUUGUCGUCACAAUUUUAUCGUUGAGAUUCUGGAAUACCUGAGUUUCACCGACAUCGAAAAUCUCUUUUAUGCAGUUGUUGGUGAGAUAACCUCGACGCCACCUAGUACUGGGGCGGGAGUUCGGGAGUAUUGCCAUAACUUGUAUAACCGAUGCUUUUCGAAGGUUGAGGUAAAUGAUUUCCAAAGUUUUUCUUGGUUAUGUGUUGAAGGAUGGAUACAGUUGGAUGUAGGAUUUGCUAGAUAUGGGUGAGAUAUUAUGCUUGCCCUGUAUCCCCAACACCUGAUUGCAUAACCGGAAAGGUUCGGGAGUUUCAUAGGUGGGAAUUCUUGUAGCUCUAGUUCUUCUUCCGCGGAUAUUUGGUUUGGGAUUGGGUAAUCCUCACCAAGUAUUUGCUCUUGUCCAUACCUUGUUGUUUUUCUUCUACCUCAAUUCUAAGUGGCUUCUCAAUUUAUGGAAAUGUGACCAUUUCAAUUGGAAUGCAUUCGUUCAUUUUGUUCAGAUGUGAAGACUUUAUGUUGCAAUUUCAAACCUUUUGAUUCAGCUUCAUAUUUGCCUAUCAAUAUGCUAACGGAUGUCAACCUCUUCAGGAUGGCUCCUGCUAAGGGCAACAAUCAGAAUCAGAAUCAGGAUCCGCCACCACCACCUCCACCUCCGGAGGCAUGGCAAUCUAUGAUGGCCGCUACCAAUGCAAACACGCAGCUGAUCAUGCAAAUUCCUCAAGAGCACAACCAAGGGAAUCAUGGCCAUGUCAACAAUCAGAAUCAUUUUGCUACACUCAACCAGUUCCUCGCUAACCAGCCAAAGACCUUCAGCAAUUGUGUUGAGGCAACAGACGCUGAUGAUUGGCUCGUGUACAUAUGCAAGCAUUUCGAGUGGAGUAAUGUCAGGCCUGAGGACUUUGUCAAGUUUGCCUCCUUCCAACUCAAAGACCAAGCUGCAGAAUGGUUUCAGCAGUACAAAGAUUCCAGAGGAGGCCAUGUGAUUACCUGGGAUGAAUUCCGUCAAGACUUAAAAGCUCAUCAUAUUCCAGUACCUGAAGCAAGGCACUAUGUCUGUUUACCAGUACAACAUCAUGUUUCAGAAGCUCGCCCAUUUCGCUAAGCAAGACGUCCCUGACGAGAAGAGCAUUAUAUACCAGUUUAGGGGUGGUCUCAGAGAAGAACUCUAGCUAGCUCUCGUCCUUUUUGAGCCCAAGAAGUACGAUGAGUUCUACAACAUGUCAAUGAAGCAAGAGGCUGCCCAACUGAAGUGCGAUGCUUCCAAGAAGCGAGUCAGCGAUGCAACUCCUUCUUCCUCAACUCAAGUGGCUAAGCAUCAAAAGUAUUGGCUACCUCCUCCUCCGUUCCGUCAGCCUUAUCAGCAGAAGAGCAAAGGUGGCAGUGGAUCUUCCCACCCACCCAACCCUAGCUUUCAGAACAAGACUUCGUCUCAAGCUCCAAGAUCAAGUGAUCCGUAUCACCGUCCGCUUUCGGAGGUCAUGUGCAACAAGUGCCAAUAGAAGGGUCACUAUGCCAAUAAAUGCUUCAAUCAGAGGCGUCUUCCUCCUCCUCCUCCUGUGAGAUCUGCAAGUACAACUGUGGUCAAGCAUAACCCCAAGCACACCAAGGUCAACACGGUGAAUGCAGCUCAGGCAGAGGACUCGUCAGAUGUCAUCAUGGGUAACCUUCCUAUUAACGAUAUUCCUGCAAAAGUACUUUUUGACACUGGUGCAUCGCAUUGUUUCAUCUCGAGACCUUUUGCAUCUAAGCAUGAGUUGUCUUCUCAAGUUUUGCAUAAACCGUUAGCAGUUAUCUCACCGGGUAAAUGCUUGCUUGCAAAGUACGAGAUUCCGGAUAUUUCUAUCAUGAUGGGUGAUUUCAAGUUUUUGGCUUCUCCAAUAGUCCUUGGUAACUCAGAUAUCGAUCUUAUUCUUGGAAUGGAUUGGCUUUCUAAGCACAAGGCUCAGCUUGAUUGUGCCGCCAGGCAGAUUCAAUUGACUCAUUCGUCUGAGGAUGUAAUUGUCUUUGCCGCUUGGGAUAAUACAAUCCGUCUGUUUUCUCUCAAUGAGAAGGGCGAGCUAGAUGCCAUCUCUCAAAUUCCAGUCGUUUGCGAAUAUCAAGACGUCUUUCCAGAAGAGCUUCCAGGAAUGCCUCCGCACCGGCCAGUUGAAUUCAUCAUCAAUCUUGAGCCUGGCACAGAACCUGUUUGCAAACGUCCUUAGAAGCUUGGACCUGAAGAGUUGAAGGAGCUGAAGAAGCAACUCGAUAUUCAAGAGCGAAUGGGUCUCAUCCGACCUAGUUCUUCUCCGUGGGGUUGUGGAGUUCUUUUGUGAAGAAGAAGGAUGGAACAGACCGACUCUGUGUCGACUACCGUCCAUUGAACAAGAAGACUAUAAAGAACAAGUACCCACUUCCCUACAUCAACGAGCUGUUUGAACAACUCAAAGGUGCUCAAGUAUUCUCCAAGCUUGAUCUCCGUAUGGGCUAUCAUCAGAUUCGAAUUCGUGAGCAAGAUAUCCCUAAGACAGCAUUCAGAACAAGCUAUGGUUCAUAUGAAUACACUGUCAUGUCUUUUGGCCUCGUCAACGCUCCGCCAAAUUUCUCUCGCAUGAUGAACUUCAUCUUCAACCCCUACACAAAUGACUUCGUCUUGGUCUACCUCGAUGACAUUUUGGUCUUUUCCAAGAACAAGGAAGAUCAUGCCAAGCACUUGCGUUUGGUGCUGGAUAAGCUCAGAGAACAUCUGUUCUAUGCCAAGUUUUCAAAGUGCGAGUUUUGGCUCGAUGAGGUUCUUUACCUUGGGCAUAUCAUUUCUGCCAAGGGCAUAGCGGUGAAUCCUGAGAAGGUGUCUGCAAUUGUGAAUUGGGAACCUCCUCAGAAUGUGAAGCAACUCCGCAGCUUCCUUGGUCUCGCAAGCUAUUGUCCAAGGUUCGUUGAGAACUUCUCAAAGAUCGCAAAGCCUCUUUCCAACCUUCUCCAGAAGCACGUGAAGUACGUUUGGUCUCCGGAAUGUGACAUCGCUUUCAACACCCUGAAAGAGAAAUUAGUCACUGCUCUAGUUCUGACUCCUCCUGAUGAAUCCAAAUCGUUCGAGGUUUUUUGUGAUGCCUCUCUUCAAGGUCUUGGUGCAGUGUUGAUGCAAGAGAAUAAAGUUGUGGCUUAUACCUCUCGCCAGUUGAAGCCCAACGAAAAGAACUACCCCACUCACGACCUUGAGUUGGCGGCAGUUGUGCAUGCUUUGUUAACUUGAAGACAUCUCUUAUUGGGAAGAAAAGUGGACAUCUUCACUGACCACAAGAGUCUCAAGUACAUCUUCACUCAGCCUAAUCUCAACCUCAGGCAGACUCAUUGGGUCGAAAUGAUUCAAGAGUAUAAUCUAAGUAUCAAAUAUACUCCAGGCAAGGCCAAUGUAAUUGCUGACGCAUUGAGUAGGAAGGCUUACUACAACAGUCUGAUUCUCAAGCCUUACCGACCUGAGCUUUGUGAAGCUUUCCACAAACUCAAUCUGCAAGUUGUUCCUCAAGGUUUCCUCGCCAACCUUCAAGUCUCUCCUACUUUGGAAGAUCAGAUUCGCAAGGCUCAACUUCUUGAUGCUAUGGUGAAGAAGGUGAAGAUUGGGAUUGCCAAGAGUCAACCUAAGUACAAGUGCUAUCGCCUUGAUGACAAGGAUACUCUAUUCUUCGAGGAUUGCAUUGUUGUUCCUAAAGGUGACCUUCGUAAAGUCAUUAUGAACGAGGCUCACAAUUCACUCCUCUCUAUCCACCCUAGAAGUACAAAGAUGUACCAUGACCUCAAGCAGUCGUAUUGGUGGACUCGAAUGAAGCGCGAAAUUGCUCAGUUCGUGAACGAAUGUGAUUUCUGCAGAAGAGUGAAGGCAGAACACCAACGACCAGCUGGCCUCCUCCAACCUCUUGCCAUUCCAGAAUGGAAGUUUGACCAUAUUGAGAUGGACUUCGUGAUAGGAUUUCCAAAGUCCAAGCGUGGCAAUGAUGAUAUAUUCGUUGUCAUCGACAAACUCACUAAAGUGGAUCAUUUCUUCCUAUGAAAGAAUCAAUCACAGCAGCUCAAUUGGCAGAGCUUUAUACCUCUCGGAUUGUCUCUCUGCACGGCAUUCCACAGUUGAUUUCUUUAGAUCGUGGCAGCAUCUUCACCUCGAAGUUUUGGGAUUCUUUCCAGAAGGCCAUGGGCACCAACAUCCGUUUCAGCACAGCUUUUCAUCCCCAAACUAGUGGCCAAGUCGAGCGUGUCAAUCAGAUUCUUGAAGAUAUGCUCAGGGCUUGCGUUAUCUCUUUUAUCUCUUUUAGUAUGAAGUGGGAAGAUUUUCUUCCAUAUGUCAAGUUUUCCUACAACAACAACUUUCAAGCGAGUUUGGGCAAGGCCCCAUUUGAAAUUCUCUAUGGCAGGAAGUGACGUACUCCUCUUAACUGGCCAGAGACUGGUGAACGUCAACUUCUUGGCAAUGACUUGAUCACAGAGGCAGAAGAGAUGUGCAAAGUCAUUCAUGAUAACCUCAAAGCAGCGCAAUCACGCCAGAAGAGCUACUAUGAUAGUAAGCAUCGUGAUUUGGCUUUCGAGAUCGGAGACCAUGUUUACCUCCGCAUCUCUCCAAUGAAAGGUACUCAUCGUUUUGGUAUCAAAGGGAAGCUUGCCCCUAGAUACGUGGGUCCUUUCAAGAUCGUCAUCAAGAGAGGCGAUCUCGCCUAUCAACUUGAGCUUCCCUCCAACUUUGCAAACGUGCACGAUGUGUUCCAUGUCUCUCAGCUCCGCAAGUGCUUCAAGACCCCUGACCGCACCGUCAACUUCGAAGACAUUGAACUCCAAGAAGACCUUUCUUAUCGUGAGCACCCAGUUGCUAUCCUUGAAGAAACUGAGCGCAAGACUCGCAACAAGUCAAUCAAAUUCCUCAAAGUCAAGUGGUCACAUCAUUCCGACCGUGAAGCCACCUGGGAACGCGAGGAUCAUCUCUUUUCUGAGUACCCGGAGUUUUUUUAGUCCUAGAUCCCGGGUCGAGAUCCUUUUGUAGUGGUGGAGUGUUGUAACACCCCGGAUGUAAUUUACCUUAUCUGUAUCCCAACUCUUGCCGUUUCCGGCACUAAGUUAUUUUAUUUCCUCCUUGUCGGGUUUUUGUCUCCAUGUGUUGUUGUCUUUGUCAUGCAUCUCAUAUCAUUUCAUCAUGUGCAUUGCAUUUGCAUACGUGUUCGUCUCAUGCAUCCGAGCAUUUUCCCCGUUGUCCAUUUUGCAUUCCGGCGCUCGUAUAUCACCCGGUGUCCCUUUCUACCUCUUUUCAUGUGCGGGUGUUAAACGUUUUCGGAUUGGACCGAUACUUGUCAUGCGGCCUUGGUUUACUACCGGUAGACUGCCUGUCAAGUUUCGUGCCAUUUGGACGUCGUUUGAUACUCCAACGGUUAACCGAGGGACCGAAAAGGCCUCGUGUGUGUUGCAGCCCAACACCUCUCCAAACUAGCCCAAAACCCACCUAAACCUCCUCCAUCAUCUAGAGCGUUCGAUCACGAUUGCAUGGCCGCAAACCGCACCUCAUUUGGAGCUUCCUAGCUCCUCCUACCUCUAUAAAUAGAUCCCCUCACCAAAAUCCCGGAUCUCCUCUUCGAAACCCUAGCCCCUUCUUCCUCCGCGCGCCAGACACGUCCGCCCGGUGCCGGACAUGUCCGCCCGGCGCCGGACACGUCCGCCGCGUCCCCUCACCCAAUCUCCGCCUGCCACGUGGCGCAUCAGUGCCCACUUCACUGUCGGCCCGUCNNNNNNNNNNNNNNNNNNNNNNNNNNNNNNNNNNNNNNNNNNNNNNNNNNNNNNNNNNNNNNNNNNNNNNNNNNNNNNNNNNNNNNNNNNNNNNNNNNNNNNNNNNNNNNNNNNNNNNNNNNNNNNNNNNNNNNNNNNNNNNNNNNNNNNNNNNNNNNNNNNNNNNNNNNNNNNNNNNNNNNNNNNNNNNNNNNNNNNNNNNNNNNNNNNNNNNNNNNNNNNNNNNNNNNNNNNNNNNNNNNNNNNNNNNNNNNNNCGCCCGAGCAUCGCCGCGCCGCCCCGCCAUCGACGCCGGCCGCCGCCACCGGAGCUCCGCCGCCCAGUUUGCCGGACCUCGCCGCCAAGCUUGCCGACUGCCGCCCCGUCGCCCCGGUGCCGCCUCGCGCCUGCCGGCAGCCUCCUCCGCCGCCCCGCGCCGGGAUCCGGCAAGAUCCGGCCCGGAUCCGCAAUCUCUGGCGAGGUCCACCUCUCUCCCCGCCAUCCCCGGCGAGUCCCGCGCCGGCGAACCUCGGAUUCCGUGCCUGUUGACUUUUACCUCGAGGGUAUAUUUUUCCUAAGUCCUGAGAUUUCCUGAUUCAUAUGCAUUUUUCAUCACAUCACAACUUCCUCACCGUGGCUCCGAUUCGUGUGUGUAGCAUAUCAAAAUGUUCGCCUCGACGAGUACAUCAUUUCAUCUCAUUGCAUCAUUUUCAUUUGAGCUCAUCAUGAUGCCCGAAAUGUCGUUGGAAGAGGGCUAUGUGAUGAUUAUGUCGGAUCUGUUUCAGCAAAUAGCCUUUUGUCUUUUUUGCCAUGAUUAAUGUGUGCAUGCUAUGACCCUGAGCUCUACAUGUGUUUUGUAGAAUGCCAUGUUAUCUUUACAGGGGUGUAUGCCAUGUAUUUUUGUGAUAUUUGUGGUGAUUAGCACAAGCUUGCAAAGUAGCGUAAUCGUUGAUGCUGAUUUCAGUGACUUAGAAUUUCUCUAAGUCCUUGUCCUGAUAUUGUUGUUAUGCCAUAUGUUCAUGUUGUUUCCUAGUGAUCCGUGCCUCUUUUGAGGAUGAUCAGUAAGGAUGUUUUGUUAAUAUUGUGGUGCUCUAUCCAUCCAUGUCUUUGGUUGCAUUUAUGGAGCACGCCAGAUUGAGUCAAUCGAGCUCUACUUUUGCUAUAAAAUGAUCCUGGCAGAUUGUUGACAUGUUUAGCGAUUUUGCCGAGGAUGUUGCUAUUGAUCCGUGCAUGCUAUGUUGUUUUUCUUGCCAUGUCUAGCUUCUAUGCCAUGUCUUAUUCAUGGGUGUAUGCUUAGUUUGUCAUGCCAUGCUCUGUAGUGAGUGCAUCGAGUUCGUAAACAUGCCUACUCGUUGACUGAUUUGCAUGCUCCAGUUUUUCACUAAGUCUGAAUCUGUUUGUGUUUUUGCUAUGUUCACAUGCUUGCAAUUGUAUUUUUUGAUCCCUUUUGGCUCAAGAUCACUAAGGGACUUUUGUUAAGUGCUUUGAGUAUCUUCAUGCCAUGUCUUGCUUUGCCAUGAUAAGUUCCUCUAGCAUGUAGGUUUCAUGCUCUAAAGAUUGCUUCCUGACGAUAAAUUCCAGACUUGUGUUAAUUUCACUAAGUCUGAAACCUGUUAUCAUUUGCACUUUUGCCAUGCUUGUUUGAACCUGUUAGUGGAUGAAUUAGCCUUAGCUCAGUGUUCAUCUUUUGUCAAGCAUCAUGAGUGUAUCCCUGCCAUGUAUUUUGUUGUCAUGUUUGCGUGCUUUAGCAUAUUUAUCUUGAUGCAUUUAGUUGGUCACUUGCUGAUUAUCGCAAACCGGUGUCAUAUUUGUUUUGCUUGCCAUUUCCCAACCGUGCAUCCGAUUCUGGUGAUGUUUAUAUCGAUUUCAACCGAAAUCAACUCCCCUUUCCAGUGGCACUAUUAGAUUUCCAAGUUGAGGCCAGGUUAAAUCAUUCCUUGUCAAAUCAUGCAUAUGCAUCACAUAUCGCAUCCCGCAUAUCAUACCAUGUUUGCAUCAUAUUGCUUGAGCAUUGCACGUGGUUGAUUGUGCUCCUUUUGCUUGUUGUUCUUGUUUGGGUAGAGCCGGGAGACGAGUUCGUGAACGAUGAGCCCGUUGAGUUCGCUUACGAGGAUCAAGGUAACUCUGAGUACUUUGCAGGCAAGAUGACCAUACCCUUGAAAUCACUUCUAUCUUUGCUUGCUAGAUGCUCGCUCUUUUGCUAUGCCUAUGCUAUGACACCUACCACUUAUCAUGCCUCCCAUUUUUCCAUGUCAAAACUCUAACCCACCGUGUCCUAGCAAAUCAUUGUUUGGCUAUGUUACUGCUUUGCUCAGCCCCUCUUAUAGCGUUGCUAGUUGUAGGUGAAGAUUGGAGAUUGUUCCUUGUUGGAACAUUGUUUAUUGUUGGGAUAUCACCAUAUUAUCUUGUUUAUCUUAAUGCACCUAUAUACUUGGUAAAGGGUGGAAGGCUCGGCCUUUUGCCUAGUGUUUUGUUCCACUCUUGCCACCCUAGUUUCCGUCAUAUCGGUGUUAUGUUCCCGGAUUUUGCGUUCCUUACACGGUUGGGUUAUAAUGGGAACCCCUUGACAGUUCGCCUUGAAUAAAACUCCUCCAGCAAUGCCCAACCUUGGUUUUACCAUUUUCCACCUUGCCUCUUUUUCCCUUGGGUUUCCAGAGCCCGGGGGUCAUCUUAUUUAAACCCCUCGGGCCAGUGCUCCUCUGAGUGUUGGUCCACCUCGUCAGCCACCGGUGGCCACCAGGGGUAACUCUGGGCUGGCCUACCGGAAGUUUGGACCAUUUGAGUGUGCCCUGAGAACGAGAUAUGUGCAGCUCCUAUUGGGAUUUGUCGGCACAUUCGGGCGGUGUUGCUAGACUUGUUUUACCAUUGUCGAGGAUGUCUUGUAACGGGGAUGCCGAGUCUGAUGGAUUGUCUUGGGAGAAGGAAUAUCAUUCGUUGACCGUGAGAGCUUGUGAUGGGCUAAGUUGGGACUCCCCUGCAGGGAUUUGAACUUUCUAAAGACGUGCCCGCGGUUAUGGGCAGAUGGGAAUUUGUUAAUGUCCGGUUGUAGAUAACAUGAAACUUAACUUAAUUAAAAUGCACCAACCGCGUGUGUAACCGUGAUGGUCUCUUCUCGGCGGAGUCCGGGAAGUGAACACGGUGUUGGAGUAAUGCUUGACGUAGGUUGUUCUAGGAUCACUUCUUGAUUGUAGUUGUCUGUCCGUGCUUUGCCUUCUCUUCUUGCUCUCUUUUGCGUAUGUUAGCCACCAUAUAUGCUAGUCGAUUGCUGCAGCUCCACACCAUGCCUUUACCUUACCUAUAAGCUUAAAUAGUCUUGAUCGCGAGGGUGUGAGAUUGCUGAGUCCUGGUGACUCACAGAUUCCUUCCAAAACCAGAUACAGGGACCGAUGAUACCGUUCCAUAUGACAUGACCGAGCUCAAGUGGGAGUUCGAUGAAGACUCUCACCGUUACUACGUGUCCUUCCCAGAUGAUCAGUAGUGGUGCCCAGUUGGGGCGAUCGGGGACUUUGUCGCAUUUGGGGGUUGGUCUUUAUUUUGGUACCGUAGUCGGACCAUGAGUGUAUUGGAUGAAUGUAAUGUUAUUCAUGUAUUUGUGUGACGUGGCGAGUGUAAGCCAACUAUGUAUCUUUUCCCCUUUAUUUAUAUUACACGGGUUGUUUGCGAAGAUUACCUCACUUGGGACAUUGCUUUCAAUGCGGUUAUGCCUCUAAGUCAUGCUUCGACACGUAGGAGAUAUAGCCGCAUCGAGGGUGUUACAUGCUGUUUUUUUUCCUAUUUCAGUGUUUCGAAGAAACGGAAUAUCAAACGGAGUCCAAACGGAAUGAAACCUUCAGGAACGUGAUUUUCUCACCGGACGUGAUCCAUGAGACUUGGACCCUACGCCAAGGCAUCAGAGAGGCGGUCACGAGGGUGGGGGGCGCCCCCCCAAGGGCGCUCCCCCUGCCUCGUGGGCCCCUCGAAGAUCCACCGACGUACUCCUUCCUCCUAUACAUACCUACGUACCCCCAAACAAUCAGAGGAGCAGCCAAAAACCUAAUUCCACUGCCGCAACUUUCUGUAUCGACGGGAUCCCAUCUUGGGGCCUGUUCCGGAGCUCCGCCGGAAAGGGCCGUCAUCACGGAGGGCUUCUACAUCAUCAUAGCCUCUCCGAUGAAGUGUGAAUAGUUUACCCCAGACCUUCGGGUCCAUAGUUAGUAGCUAGAUGGCUUCUUCUCUCUUUUUGGAUCUCAAUACAAAGUUCUCCCCCUCUCUCGUGGAGAUCCAUUCGAUGUAAUCUUCUUUUUGCGGUGUGUUUGUCGAGACCGAUGAAUUGUGGGUUUAUGAUCAAGUCUAUCUAUGAAUAACAUUUGAAUCUUCUCUGAAUUCUUUUAUGUAUGAUUGGUUAUCUUUGCAAGUCUCUUCGAAUUAUCCGUUUGGUUUGGCCAACUAGAUUGGUAGUUCUUGCCAUGGGAGAAGUGCUUAGAUUUGGGUUCGAUGUUGCGGUGUCCUUUCCCAGUGACAGAAGAGGCAGCAAGGCACGUAUUGUAUCGUUGCCAUCAAGGAUAACAAGAUGGGGUUUAUUUCAUAUUGCAUGAAUUUAUCUAUCUACAUCAUGUCAUCUUGCUUAAGGCGUUACUCUAUUUUUAACUUAAUACUCUAGAUGCAUGCUAGAUAGCGGUCGAUGAGUGGAGUAAUAGUAGUAGAUGCAGAAUCGUUUCGGUCUACUUGUCACGGACGUGAUGCCUAUAUACAUGAUCAUGCCUAAAUAUUCUCAUAACUAUGCUCAAUUCUGUCAAUUGCUCAACAGUAAUUUGUUCACCCACCGUAGAAUACUUAUGCUCUUGAGAGAAGCCACUAGUGAAACCUAUGGCCCCCGGGUCUAUUCUCAUCAUAUCAAUCUCCAUCACUUUAAUAUUGCUUUGCUUUUUACUUUGCCUUUACUUUUUACAUUGCAUCUCUAUACCAAAAAUACCAAAAAUAUUAUAUCUAUCAUAUCUCACUCUUGUAAGUGACUGUGAAGGGAUUGACAACCCCUAAUCGCGUUGGUUGCGAGUAGCUAUCGUUUUGUGCAGGUACGAGGGACUUGAGCGUGGCCUCCUACUGGAUUGAUACCUUGGUUCUCAAAAACUAAGGGAAAUACUUACGCUACUUUGCUGCAUCAUCCCUUCCUCUUCGGGGAAAACCAAUGCAAGCUCAAGAGGUAGCAAGAAGGAUUUCUGGUGCCGUUGCCGGGGAGUCUACGCAAAAAGUCAACAUACCAAGUACCCAUCACAAUCCCUAUCUCCCGCAUUACAUUAUUUGCCAUUUGGCUCUCGUUUUCCUCUCCCCCACUUCACCCUUGCCGCUUUAUUCGCCCUCUCUCUCUCUCUCUAUCCUCCCUCUCUUUUCCGCUUGCCUUUUGUUUGCUCGUGUGUUGGAUUGCUUGUUUGUCGCGAUGGCUCAAGAUACUACCAAAUUGUGUGACUUCACCAAUAUCAAUAAUAAUGAUUUCCUUAGCACUCCGAUUGCUCCUCUUGCCAAUACUGAAUCUUGUGAAAUCAAUACUGCUUUGUUGAAUCUUGUUAUCAAAGAUCAAUUGCCAGCCUUCCUAGUGAAGAUGCCGCUACUCAUCUGAAUAGCUUCGUUGAUUUAUGUGAUAUGCAAAAGAAAAAAGAUAUCGAUAAUGAUGUCGUUAAAUUGAAGCUAUUUCCUUUUUCGCUUAGAGAUCAUGCUAAAGCUUGGUUUUCGUCUUUGCCUAAAAAUAGUAUUGAUUCUUGGAACAAGUGCAAAGAUGCUUUUAUCUCUAAGUAUUUCCCUCCCGCUAAGAUCAUCUCUCUUAGAAACGAUAUUAUGAAUUUUAAGCAACUCGAUCAUGAACAUGUUGCACAAUCUUGGGAGAGAAUGAAAUUAAUGAUACGUAACUGCCCUACUCAUGGUUUGAAUUUGUGGAUGAUUAUACAAAUUUUUUAUGCCGGAUUGAAUUUUGCUUCUAGAAAUCUUUUAGAUUCGGCCGCGGGAGGCACUUUUAUGGAAAUCACUUUAGGAGAUGCUACUAAACUCCUAGAUAAUAUUAUGGUUAAUUAUUCUCAAUGGUAUACUGAAAGAUCUUCUAAUAAAAAAGUGCAUGCGAUAGAAGAAAUCAAUGUUUUGAGUGGAAAGAUGGAUGAACUUAUGAAAUUAUUUGCUACUAAGAGUGUUUCUUCUGAUCCUAAUGAUAUGCCUUUGUCUACUUUGAUUGAGAAUAACAAUGAAUCUAUGGAUGUGAAUUUUGUUGGUAGGAAUAAUUUUGGUAACAACGCUUAUAGAGGGAACUUUAAUCCUAGGCCGUAUCCUAGUAAUACUUCUAAUAAUUAUGGGAAUUCCUACAACAACUCUUAUGGAAAUUAUAAUAAGAUGCCCUCUGAAUUUGAGAAUAGUGUUAAAGAGUUUAUGAAUUCACAAAAGAAUUUUAAUACUUUGCUUGAAGAGAACUUGCUUAAAGUUGAUGAUUUGGCUAGGAACGUUGAUAGAAUUUCUCUUGAGAUUGAUUCUUUAAAGCUUAGAUCUAUUCCUCCUAAGCAUGAUAUCAAUGAGUCUCUCAAAGCCAUGAGAAUUUCCAUUGAUGAGUGCAAGGAAAGAACCGCUAGGAUGCCUUUAUUAAAGCGUGUUCUUCCAAUUCCUAUGAAAAUCAAGAUGAAGAUCUAAAAGUUAUUGAUGUGUCACCUAUUAAAUCUUUGUUUUGCAAUAUGAAUCUUGAUGAAACUGAAUAUGAUCUUCCUUUACCUAGAAGGCGUUCUAAAAAUUCGGAGUAUUUAGAUCUUUAUGAUGAAAUUGAUGAAAGUGGGAUUGAAAGAAAUAAAAAUCUAGAUUUUGCUAAACCCACUAUAUUGGAUUUCAAGGAAUUUAAUUAUGAAAGUUGCUCUUUUACUGAUUGUAUGCAAUCCGUGCUAAAUUCUCCACAUGCUUAUAGUCAACAUAAAGCCUUCACCAAACAUAUUGUUGAUGCCUUGACGCAAUCUUAUGAAGAAAAACUUGAGUUGAAAGUUUCUAUCCCUAGAAAACUAUAUGAUGAGUGGGAACCAACUAUUAAAAUUAAAGUUAAAGAUCAUGAGUUUUAUGCUUUGUGUGAUUUGGGUGCUAGUGUCUCCACUAUUCCCAAGACUUUGUGUGAUUUGCUAGAUUACCGUAAUUUUGAUGAUUGCUCUCUAAACUUGCAUCUUGCGGAUUCUACUAUUAAGAAACCUAUGGGAAGGAUUAAUGAUGUUCUUAUUGUUGCAAAUAGGAAUUAUGUUCCCGUAGAUUUGAUUGUUCUUGAUAUAGAUUGCAAUCCUUCUUGCCCUAUUAUUCUUGGUAGACCUUUCCUUAGAAUGGUUGGUGCGAUUAUUGAUAUGAAGGAAGGGAAUAUUAGAUUUCAAUUUCCAUUAAAAAUGGCAUGGAACACUUUCCUAGAAAGAAAAUAAAAUUUCCAUAUGAAACUAUCAUGAGAGCCACUUAUGGAUUGCCUACCAAAGAUGGCAAUACCUAGAUCUAUCCUCGCUUUUAUGCCUAGCUAGGGGAGUUAAACAAUAGCGCUUGUUGGGAGGCAACCCAAUUUUAUUUUUAUUACUUGCUUUUUGCUACUGUUUAGUAAUAAAUAAAUUAUCUAGCCUCUGUUUUGGUUGUGUUUUUUGUGUUUAAUUAGUGUUUGUGCCAUGUAGAACCGUUGGGAAGACUUGGGGAAAGUCUUGUUGAACUUGCUGUAAAAAACAGAAACCUUAGCGCUCACGAGAACUGCUGUCAUCUUUAUUUGAAGAGUGAUAUUUAGUUAAUUCUUUUUUAAGAUUAUUAAUAUAUAAAUUCCUCACGUCCAGAAAUUUAUUUCAUAAUUUUUGGGGUUCCAGAUCUUGUGCUAGCUACAGAUUACUACAGACUGUUCUGUUUUUGACAGAUUCUGUUUUUCGUGUGUUGUUUGCUUAUUUUGAUGAAUCUAUGGUUAGUAAAAUAUUUUAUAAUCCAUAGAGAAGUUGGAAUACAGUAGGUUUAACGCCAAUAUAAAUAAAUAAUGAGUUAAUUACAGUACCUUGAAGUGUUCUUUUGUUUUCUUUCACUAACGGAGCUCACGAGUUUUCUACUUUAAGUUUUGUGUUGUGAAGUUUUCAAGUUUUGGGUGAAUUCUUUUGAUGGAUUAUGGAACAAGGAGUGGCAAAAGCCUAAGCUUGGGUAUGCCCAUGGCUCCCCCAAGAUAAUCCAAGGACACUAAAAAGUCAAAGCUUGGGGAUGCCCCGGAAGGCAUCCCCUCUUUCGUCCACUUCCAUCGGUAAUUUACUUGGAGCUAUAUUUUUACUCACCAACAUGAUAUGUGUUUUGCUUGGAGCGUCUUGUAUUAUUUGUGUCUUUGUGUUUUAAUAUGCCACAAUCAUACUUGCUGUACACACCUUUUGAGAGAGCCAUACAUGAAUUAAAAUUUGAUAGAAUACUCUAUAUGCUUCACUUAUAUCUUUUGAGCUAUGUAGUUUUGCUCUAUGUGCUUCACUUAUAUCUUUUGAGCGUUAUAAUUUUGCUCUAUGUGCUUCACUUAGAUUUUUUAGAGCAUGGUGGUGGAUUUGUUUUAAAGAAACUAUUGAUCUCUCAUGCUUCACUUAAAUUAUUUUGAGAGUCUUAAUAGCAUGGUAAUUUGCUUAAUAAUAACGUGCUUGGUAUUCAAGAUUUGUGAAACUUUCUUUUGAGUGUGUUGAAUACUAAGAAAAGUUGGAUGCUUGAUAAUUGUUUUGAGAUAUGGAGGUAGUAAUAUCAAAGUCAUGCUAGUAGAGUAAUUGUGAAUUUGAGAAGUGCUUGAGUUAAAGUUUGCAAGUCCCGUAGCAUGCACGUAUGGUAAAUGUUAUGCAACAAAUUUGAAACAUGAGGUGUUAUUUGAUUGUCCUCCUUAUGAGUGGCGGUCUGGGACGAGCGAUGGUCUUUUCCUACCAAUCUAUCCCCCUAGGAGCAUGCGCGUAAUACUUUGGUUUUUGAUGGCUUGUAGAUUUUUGCAAUAAGUAUAUGAGUUCUUUAUGACUAAUGUUGAGUCCAUGGAUUGUACGCACUCUCACCCUUCCAUCAUUGCUAGCCUCUUCGGUACCGUGCAUUGCCCUUUCUCACAUUGAGAGUUGGUGCAAACUUCCCUGGUGCAUCCAAACCCCAUGAUAUGAUACACUCUUUCACACAUAAACCUCCUUAUAUCUUCCUCAAAACAGCCACCAUACCUACCUAUUAUGGCAUUUCCAUAGCCAUUCCGAGAUAUAUUGCCAUGCAACUGUCCACCAUCCAGUUUAUCAUGACACAUACAUCAUUGUCAUAUUGCCUAACAUGAUCAUGUAGUCGACAUAGUGUUUGUGGCAAAGCCACCGUUCAUAAUUUUUUCAUACUUGUCACUCUUGAUUCAUUGCAUAUCCCGGUACACCGCAGGAGGCAUCCAUAUAGAGUCAUACUUUGUUUUAGAAUCGAGUUGUAAUCAUUCAGUUGUAAAUAAAUAAAAGUGUGAUGAUCAUCAUUUAAUAGAGCCUUGUCCCAAAAAAAAGAGAAAGGCCAAACAAAAAAAGAAGGCCCAAAAAAAUAAAAAUAAAAAAUAAAUAAAAAGGGGCAAUGCUACUAUUCCUUUUUCCACACAUGUGCUUCAAAUAGCACCGUGUUCUUCAUAUAGAGAGUCUCUUGAGUUAUCACUUUCAUAUACUAGUGGGAAUUUUCAUUAUAGAACUUGGCUUGUAUAUUCCAACAAUGGGCCUCCUCAUGUGACCUAGGUCUUCGUGAGCAAGCAAGUUGGAUGCACACCCACUUAGUUUCUUUUGUUGAGCUUUCAUACAUUUAUAGCUCUAGUGCAUCCGUUGCAUGGCAAUCCCUACUCCUUGCACUAACAUCAAUUGAUGGGCAUCUCCAUAGCCCAUUGAUUAGCCUCGUUGAUGUGAGACUUUCUCCUUUUUUGUCUUCUCCACAUAACCCCCACCAUUAUAUUCUAUUCCACCCAUAGUGCUAUAUCCAUGGCUCACGCUCAUGUAUUGCGUGAAAGUUUAUGAGUUUGAAAUUAUUAAGGUAUGAAACAAUUGCUUGGCUUGUCAUCGGGGUUGUGCAUGAUGAGAGUAUUCUUUUGUGAUGAAAAUGGAGCAUGACUAAACUAUAUGAUUUUUUAGGGAUGAACUAUCUUUGGCCAUGUUACUUUAAGAAAACAUAAUUGCUUUGUUGGUUUGCUUGAAGUAUUAUUAUUCUUUAUGUCAAUAUGAACUUUUGUCUUGAAUCUUCCUAAUCUGAAUAUUCAUACCACAAUUAAGAAGAUUUGCAUUGAAAUUAUGCCAAGUAGCACUCCGCAUCAAAAAUUCUCUUUUUAUCAUUUACCUACUCAAGGACGAGCAGGAAUUAAGCUUGGGGAUGCCUGAUACAUCUCCAACAUAUCUAUAAUUUUUGAUUGCUCCAUGCUAUAUUAUCUACUAUUUUGGACUAUAUUGGGCUUUAUUUUCCACUUUUAUAUUAUUUUUGGGACUAACCUAUUAACCGGAGGCCCAGCCUAGAAUUGCUGUUUUUUGCCUAUUUCAGUGUUUCGAAGAAACGUAAUAUCAAACGGAGUCCAAAUGGAAUGAAACAUUCGGGAACGUGAUUUUCUCACCGAACAUGAUCCAGGAGACUUGGACCCUACGCCAAGGCAUCAAAGAGGCGGUCACGAGGGUGGGGGGCACUCCCCCUGCCUCGUGGGCCCCUCGGAGCUCCACCGACAUACUCCUUCCUCCUAUAUAUACCUACGUACCCCCAAACGAUCAGAGGAGCAGCCAAAAACCUAAUUCCAUCGCCGUAAAUUUUUGUAUCCACGAGAUCCCAUCUUGGGGCCUGUUCCGGAGCUCCGCCGGAGAGGGCCGUCAUCACGGAGGGCUUCUACAUCAUCAUAGCCUCUCCGAUGAAGUGUGAGUAGUUUACCUCAGACCUUUGGGUCCAUAGUUAGUAGCUAGAUGGCUUCUUCUCUCUUUUUGGAUCUCAAUACAAAGUUCUCCCCCUCUCUCGUGGAGAUCUAUUCGAUGUAAUCUUCCUUUUGCAGUGUGUUUGUUGAGACCGAUGAAUUGUGGGUUUAUGAUCAAGUCUAUCUAUGAAUAAUAUUUGAAUCUUCUCUGAAUUCUUUUAUGUAUGAUUGGUUAUCUUUGCAAGUCUCUUCGAAUUAUCGGUUUGGUUUGGCCAACUAGAUAGGUAGUUCUUGCCAUGGGAGAAGUGCUUAGCUUUGGAUUUGAUCUUGCGGUGUCCUUUCCCAGUGACAGAAGGGGCAGCAAGGCACAUAUUGUAUCGUUGCCAUCGAGGAUAACACUCUAGAUGCAUUCUUAUUGUGCAAACAUUUUGAACAUUUACCACAUUUUGCUUCUUCACAUAAUUAUCGUUGCCAUCGAGGAUAACACUCCAAAAAGAUAUAAGUGAAGAUCAAGCGAGUAGUCAUGUAAAUGGGUAGCUAUUUGAGGACUCUCUCUUAUUUAAAAACCCUCAUACCUAAGUAUUUUAUUAAAACAGCAAGAAAAUCAAAAUAAAAUGGCAUUCCAGGAAUAGCACAACUCCUGUGAAGAAGCAAAAACUUAGGCUCCACCAAUAAUUGUUGAAGAAGAAAGGUGGGAUGCCUACCGGGGCAUCCCCAAGCUUAGAUACUUGAGACUUCUUGGAAUAUUAACUUGGGAUGCCUUGGGAAUCCCCAAGAUUGAGCUUUUUUGUCUCCUUAAUUCCUUUUAUAUCACGGUUUCCCUAUGUCUUAAAAACUUCAUCCACACAAAACUCAACAAGAACUCAUGAGAUAAGUUAGUAUAAACCAAUGCAAAAAAACUUACCAUUAUCUAUUGUAGAAAAUCAAAAAAAAUAUUAUUCAACAUUUCAUACUAAAUUCCUCUGCAUAUUUAAUACUCCUAUCCUCAAAUAGGAUCAUUAAACAAGCAAACAUAUGCAAACAAUGCAAAGACAACAGCAAUCUGCCAAAACAGUACAGUGUGUAAAGAAUGCAAGAGUAUUAAUACUUCUUUAACUCCAAAAAUUAUGAAAAUUUACCACACUGUAUAAAUUUACCAUAGCUUAUUGUGCAAACAUUUUGAACAUUUUAUCGCAUUCUAACUUUUCUCGGGAUCUUUUGCAACAUCGAUAAACUUUCUGUUUUGAAAUAGCAACAUGUAGACUUGCAAAAUAAGCAUAGUAAAGGCUAUACUUGACUUUUUUAUUGAAAUAAAAGAUGCAAAACAUUUUCUAAAUAACAUCAAGCAAAUACUAACAAAAUAAAAUGGCGCUCCAAGCAAAACUCAUAUCAUGUGAUGAAUGAAAAUAUAGCCCCACGUGAGGUUACAGAUAAUGUUGAAGACGAAAGAGGGGAUGCCUUCCGAGGCAUCCCCAAGCUUAGUUUCUUGGAUAUUCCUUGGAUAUUAACUUGGGGUGCCUUGGGCAUCCCCAAUCUUAGGGUCUUAUUACUCCUUAUUAUCCUCAUAUUGAUAUCUUACCUAAAACUUGAAAACUUCAAUCAGACAAAACUUAACGAAAUUUCAUGAGAUAGGUCAGAGGACAAAUCACUAACUUUGGUACUAUAAAGAUAAGAUUCAUAAUUGUUUCCACACAAUUCCUACUAUACCUCAUAAUUUCCACAAUUUCUAUUGAGCAAUAUAAGCCAUAGAAACUACAAAACAGGCAAACUAUGCAUUGAAAACAAAAUCUGUCAAAAAUAGAAUAGUCUGUAGUAAUCUAUACUCCAACCAUACUUAUGAUACUCCAAAAAUUCUGAAAAAUUAGGAAAACAUAGGGAAUUUGUAUAUAUAUCACUUUUAAAAAAUUCUAAUCAAAAGCAUGUUCUGGUGAAUUUUUAAAAUUCUUGGACUGAGCGCAAAAGUUUCUAUUUUUGCACAGAUUCAAAUGAACUAUCAUCCACACUAUCCCAAAGGCUUUACUUGGCACUUUAUUGAAAAAAAGCAAUAAAACAUGAUUACUAUAGUGGAAUAAUCAUGUGAACACACAAAAACAAUAGGGGUAAAUGUUGGGUUGUCUCAAAACAAGUGCUUUUCUUUAAUGCCUUUUAGCUAGGCAUGAUGAUUUCAAUGAUGCUCACAUAAAAGAUAAGAAUUGAAACACAAAGAGAGGAAACUUGAUAUUAUUGCAAUACCUACAAGCAUAUGCAUCAUGAAGAUAUGCAUCAUGAAGCAUAUGACUAGCAAAUUUAUUCCUAACCCACUUCCUAUGCAUAUGGAUUUUGUGAGAAAACAACUUAUGGGAACAAGAAUCAACUAGCAUAAGAAAGCAAAACAAACAUAACUUCAAGAUUUUCAACACAUAGAGAGGAAACUUGAUAUUAUUGCAAUACCUUCAAGCAUAUGUUCCUCCCUCAUAAUAAUUUUCAGUAGCAUCAUGAAUGAACUCAAAAAUAUAACCAUCACACAAAUCAUUCUUUUCAUGAUCUACUAGCAUACAAGAUUUAUUACUCUCCACAUAAGUAAAUUUGUUCUCAUGAAUAAUAGUGGGAGCAAACUCAAAAAAAUAAAUAUCAUGUGAUUGAAAAUUAAAAUCAUGAUGAAAAGUUUCAUGGUUAUCAUUAUUCUUUAUAGCAUACAUGUCAUCACCAUAAUCAUCAUAGAUAGCAACUUUGUUUUCAUAAUCAAUUGAAACCUCUUCCAAAAUGUUGGAUUCAUCACUAAAUAAAGUCAUGACCUCUCCAAAUCCACUUUCAUCAUUGUGAUCAGAUUCAACACCCUCCAAAAUAAUGGGAUCAUUACCUUGAGUGAAAACUCUUCAAAACCCACAUUCAUCAUUGUAAUCAUCAUAAAUAGGAGGCAUCAAUGUUGAUGUAGAUCUUUUUGGAGCAAUCCAUUGGAGUGUUAUAUUCUCAAUACCAACAUGGGUUAGUCCCACAAGGAACAUACAAGGAUAUCCAUAGACAUAGAGUGAAACACACAUAUAAUGAUGUUCAUGAAAGCGUUAGGUUACCUUAUCCUUUUUCUUACCAACAAGUGGGUUUGUGACUCCAUGAACUAGAGCAAGAUAUGAAAGUUGAUUGCACAUGUUCUUGCCAAAAUGUAUAUGAGUGAAGAAUGUUGGUGGAGUCACCCUCAAGAACACUCUAGUUCUUCUUCUUUGGGAUCCACAUCAACUUGAUGGGAAUCCUUGGAGUUGUAGUCGUACUUGAUGAAGUUGAACUUUACGUAGUGUUGGGAACCCACUUGACCAUGGCCUUAGGAGCUUCUUCAAAUGAAUAAGUCUCUUUUUGAAGUUUGUCCUUGCCUUUUAGCUUGUGGUCUUGUGGUGGAAGAUCAUCUUGAUCUUGUGUUCCCUUGAAAGAAGUGGGCUCAUAAUUCUCUUGUUGAGGAACAAACUUCGUCUUGGGGUAUUGAUCUUCUUCCCACUCAACUCCAUUGGCAUUGAACUUUCGUCCAAAACCAACACCUUGAUUCUUCCGGUGCCUUCCUUGCUUGCGUACAAUUUCCUCAAAUUGCUUACUUCCGGCAAGGCUCUUGUAAACACCUUUCUCUAUAGUUCCCUUGAAUAAGCUAUUUUCUUGCUCAAGUGUAACUUGGCUAAGAGAAUCAUUAGUGAAAUCAAGAGAACUACUAGAAGCAACAAUAUUGGAUUUAACAUGCUUAUUGUUACUACUAGAGGAUGAAUCUUUCUUGCUCUUAUUGCUAGAUUUUACUUGUGGAAUAUAAGUAGACAAGAGGAGCCAUUUGGCAAGAUCAGAAGAACUCUUCUUUUGAAGAUCAUUAUUGAUAGCUUUUAGGAACUCAUGCUCUUUCUCUAAAUUUAGCCUCAAAGCGUAGCUUCUCAUGAGUCCUUCGGAGCUCUCUGUGAUCCUCUGGAGUUGUUUCAUGAGCCAACUUAAGAGUGUUUAGUUCUUUAGUUAGAUGCUCAAUCUCCUUCUUAUCAUUAUCAUUCGUUCAUCUUGAUUAACAUGUUUACUAGCAAGUUCAUCAUAGUUUUCAUCACUGGUGUUGUCAACAAGCAUCACCUAGCAAAUCAUCUUCAUCACUAUUGAAAUCAACAUACUCGGGGUGUGAUACCUUAGGGACUUUAGCCAUGAAGCAUCUUCCAAUUCCUUCAUUUGAUGAGUCAAAUAUGACAUAGGAGUUGGAUGACACAAGUGUGAGACCGACAACACCUUCAUCGUGAGUAUAUUCGGAGUCAGUGUGAUAGCUUCUCUCGGAGUAGUUGUCGGAGUCGGAACCGGAUACCCAUUCACCAAAGUGAGCUUGAUGUCUUCAUCUUGUGUAGCCCUUUGAUGACUUGUCCUUCCUUUCCGAAUCCUUGCUUCUAUGAGAGGGUCUUCUUUCAUAACGAUCACCUCUACUCCUUCUCUCUCUUGGAGGUGAUUCAUGUCUUCUACUUCUCCUUUUUGGUGAAUCUUCUCAUUUUUGUAGGGAGUCGUACACUCAUUGGAGUAGUGUCUAGGUCUUCCACAAUUGUAGAAGAUCUUUUGUCAUUGUAGGAUCUUGACUUGGAGCUUCUCUCUUUGCUUCUAUUCUUGUAGAACUUGUUGAAGUUCUUCACCAUUAAGCUCAAUUCUUAAUUGGAGACUUGCUUCUCACUUGAUGUUGUAGGAGCAUCACUUGAAGCUUUGUAAGCACCACUUGACUUAUUGUGGAGCUCUUCCUUAUCUUUGAGUGAUGUCUCAUGAGCAACAAUUCUACCGAUGACUUUCGUGGGCUUGAGAUCUUUGUAAGUGAGCAUCAUUUGGAUCAAGGUGCACACGGUAUCAUAUUUUCGAUCCAAGGCUCUUAGGAUCUUCUUGAUGAUGAAUUUGUCGGUCAACUCUUCGCUUCCUAAGCCGACAAUCUCAUUUGUGAUGAGAGUAAGCCUAGUGUACAUCUCGGCGACUCCUUCACCAUCCUUCAUCUUUAAUUUGUCAAGUUGACUUUGAAGUACAUCCAAUUUGGAUUCCUUGACUGACUCGGUACCUUUGUGCAUAUCAACCAAAGUAUCCCAAAUUUCCUUUGCAUUCUCAAGGCGGCUGAUUUUGUUGAAUUCUUUGGGGCAUAAUCCGUUGAAGAGAAUAUCGCAAUCUUGAGCAUUGUAUUGCAUCAUCUUUAUUUCUUCCGCAGAAGCUUCAUGAUCCGGUUCUUUUCCAUCCUCGAAGAAAUCACCUUGCAAGCCAAUACACACAAUAGCCCAAAUGGCAGGGUUAUGACCAAGAAUAUGCAUUUUCAUCUUAUGCUUCCAACUAGGAAAAUUAGUACCAUCAAAGUAAGGACCUCUAUGGUGGUAAUUUCCCUCGCUAGACGCCAUACUCUCCUAGGUCCUGAAAUGGAGACCAAAUCUAUGUAAAUCAAGGCAAAUGGAGACCAAAGCUUUGAUACCAAUUGUAGGAUCAGAAGUAUGUCUAGAGGGGAGUGAUUAGACUUCUUGACCAAAUAAAAAUCUAACCUUUUCCCAAUUUUAGUUGUGGGAAGAUUUUCGCAAUUAGCACAAGUCAAGCAAUCAACCCACACAUGCAAUUCUAAGAGUGUAGCAGUGGAAAGGAAAACAUUACAUAUGAAGUUAAAGGGAAGGGUUUCGAGAGUGCAAACACAAUGAGGACACGGAGAUUUUUGGCGUGGUUCUGAUAGGUGGUGCUAUCGGCAUCCAUGUUGAUGGAGACUUCAACCCACGAUGGGUAACAGUUGCGCGAGUCAACAGAGGGCUCCACCUACGAAGGGUCCAUGAAGAAGCAGCCUUGUCUAUCCCACCAUGGCCAUCGCCCACGAAGUGCUUGCCUUACUCGGGUAUAUCUUCACGAAGUAGGCGAUCUCCUUGUCCUUAGAAUCUUGUUGGUUCAACUCCACAACUUGACGGAGGCUCCCAAUCGACACCUAACCCAUCUAGGAGACACCACUCUCCAAAAGGUAAUAGAUGUUGUGUUGACGAUGAACUCCUUGAUCUUGUGUGCUUCAAAUGAUAGUCUCCCCAACACUCAACUCUCCCACACAUAUUUGGAUAUGGUGGAACGAUGAUUUGAGUUGAAAGCAACUUAGGGAAGGCUAGAAACCAAGAAUCUUGUGGUAGGAUUGGUAUAUCUUGAUCUCAACACAUGAGUAGGUGGUUCUCUCUCAGACAAUGUAUGUUGCAAGUGUAGGCAUGUUCUGAUGGCUCUCUCACAUAUGGAGAAGGGGGUGGAAGGGUAUAUAUAGCCUCCACACAAAAUCCAACCGUUAUACACACUUGAUCCAACUCAGUUAGACCGGAUAGACGAACUCGGUGAGACCGGUUUAGUUCAAAAUGUGAACAUUAGGAAUCUCGGUGGGACCGACUAGAAAAACUCGGUGAGACCUAUGUGCUAGGGCUUAGGGGAAAACCUCAUCUCGGUGGUGUCGGUUGCGUUAACUCAGAGAGGCCGAGGUGAAGCAAUAGGGAAAUAAAGAAUUGGUCAAGCCAUCUAGGUGAGACCGAUCGCUAUUUUGGUCUAUUUCAGUGAGACCGAAAUAAAGCCACAUGCAACACAGAAUUGGCAAGGCCAUCUAGGUGAGACCAAGAUCUGCAUCGGUGUGACCGAACUAUUAGGGUUUCUGGCAGUGGCUAUGUCAUAUGAACUCGGUGGCGCCAGAUAGAAAGAAUUGGUGGGGCCGAGUUGGACUUAGGGUUUUGACAUAUUUGGAAUGAUAAAGUGGUUGAGGGAUUUGGAGCAAUAUCAUUAAGCAUUUGAGCAAGCAAGCCAUUAAGCAACACCUCAUCCCCUUUUAAUAGUAUUGGCUUUCCUAUGGGCUCAAUGUGAUCUUGGAUCACUAAAAUAGAAAUGAAGAGCCUUGAGAUUUUGCCAAUAUGUGUCCUUAGCAUUUUGAGGGGUCCACAUCUCUAGUCCAUGCCAUGCCAUUCGUUGAACUUCCUGAAAUAUUAAACUUGAAUGGAUAUUAGUUUAAUGAGCUAUACGUUGUUAUAAAUUACCAAAACCACCUGGGGAUUAGUUCUAGUUUCUGCAAUCAUUCUCUUUCCUCUUUGCUCUCGGGGCGAGCUUCCUCAUGGGUGCAGCCUUUUUGCCCACUUCCUUCUUGGUACUUGAAGCACUUCCGGUACAAGGUUUGGAUUGCCAAAAGACAGACUGUCGAGUAGAUGGGAAAGCUUCGACAGACUGCUUAGCAGACAAUUUAGCUAUGUCGGACUGCUGAGCGAGUGGUGCUGCUGUGGCGGACUGCUGGGUUGUAGGAGCAGAGGCAUCCGAGUGCUGACCAUGAGUUGAAUCCAUGCCGGGUUUUUGCACAGGUGGUGCCAACUUGUUGGUGUGCCAAGGAGGCCGUGCCAACGCGUUGGUUUGCUGAGCAGGCAGUGUUGACGCCUUGGUAUGCUGAUCAUGCGGCUGCGGACCGACAGAUUGAUGGGCAGUUGGUUUUGGACCUACAGACUGCUUAGCAGGUGGUUCCGAAGCAUCAGACUGCUUAGCAGUCCAAUCCACCAAGUUGGUAUGCUGAGCAUGUGGUGCAGCUGGGUCUCCACCCGCUGCUUCAGUGGCCGACGUCUGAAUCGGUGGUGCAUCUUCAGCAGUUUUAGGCCAUGCCACUGGCUGCUCUAGGGAAGAUGAUGACACAUGUAUGGCACAAAGUCGGGUGGGCUGAUCAUAGGUUGAUGCAUCAGCCACUGGAUUACGAGUAUUAGGUUCCUUGGGGGAAGCACGCGAGAGUUGUUGUGGCAAGGAGAGCGUCACCAGUUGAGGGGCGACAUUGGUUGCUCUUGGCGGGGCUUCAUGGAUCUCAUCCAUGAAGUCUAUUUCCUUUCGUGGGCACUGGAUGUGAUGUAACAAUGUUUCUCCCAAGGUCCUAUGUUCAUCAAAGUCCCCUAGGACAUUUUCCGGGCAAAUUCAUUGAAUCCAGGCUUUACUUCAGUCACGUAGCACUUCACACAGCCCGGCUUCAAUGGCACAUUGUCCAACAAGAGUCCCUCUUCCAACAAGGGUGGGCAAACCCAGGCUAUUGCACAUUUUAAUGUACCUUCAUAAUGUGUAAGCACGCUCUUCAGUCUCUCUUUCAUUCUAGAUAGAUCAGAUAUAACAGCAUCAUGCGCAUCUGCAGACAGUGUCGCCUGGCUCAGCUAAUGCACAACUACUCUUGUGCGGUGUUGUCACGCAAUAACCAGCAUCCUCCAUGCCUGCCUCCCCUCCCAUCAGCUGGCUAUCUGUCAGUGUUAGAGUCUUCUACAUCAUCAUUGGCUCCUCAAUUUCCUUUCGCCCAGUCGGAUACAUGUCCUUCCUCAACCUUUCAAACAAUUCAUUUUGCUUCAUUUCACUCCUCGUUUCUUUUCAUGCCAAGCCUCUCUUCUUUCGAACAGUCGGAUACAUGUCUAGACUUUGUUCGAAGUAAGUGUCACUACAAAAAAAUACACUUCCAUCAUGAUACAUGUUUGUCAUAGUAGGUCACAUUUUCUGUCAUGCAUGUACAUCCAUGACGAUUUUAUGACAGAAUCAAGAUUGUCAUACCUGUGCUGUCAUAGAACUGUUCCAUGACAUUACCAAAGUUAUCAUCACAGAAGUGUUCACUUCCAUGAUGAUAAAUGACGCGUCAUGGAAGUGCUUUCGUCAAGGGUGACCGACAUGUGGCAUCCACCGUAACGGGUUACCGUUAAGCUAUCGGGUCUGGUUUUGGAUCCGAUAACCCUCUAGCAACCACGACCAACGUGCAUUUUCCACGCAUAAAAUUCUCAUUGGCCGAUGGAACCACGUUGUCUGUGUCAAAACUGGCGGAUCUCGGGUAGGGGGUCCCGAACUGUGCGUCUAAGGCGGAUGGUAUCAGGAGGCAGGGGACACAAUGUUUUACCCAGGUUCGGGCCCUCUUGAUGGAGGUAAAACCUAUGUCCAGCUUGAUUAAUAUUAAUGAUAUGGGUAGUACAAGAGUAGAUCUACCACGAGAUCAGAGAGGCUAAACCCUAGAAGCUAGCCUAUGGUAUGAUUGUAUGUUGUAGUUGUUGUUGUCCUACGGACUAAAACCCUUUGGUUUAUAUAGACACUUGAGAGGGUUAGGGUUACACAAGGUUGGUUACAAAGGAGGAGAUAUCCAUAUCCAUAUUGCCUAGCUUGCCUUCCACGCCAAGUAGAGUCCCAUCCGGACACGAGACGAAGCCUUCAAUCUUUUAUCUUCAUAGUCCAACAGUCCGGCCAAUGGAGAUAGUCUGGCUGUCCGGAGACCCCCUAAUCCAGGACUCCCACAGUAGCCCCUGAACCAGGCUUCAAUGACGAUGAGUCCGGCGCGCAGUAUUGUCUUCCGCAUUGCAAGGCGAGUUCCUCCUCCAAAUAUACCACGGAAGAAUUUGAAUAUAAGGAUAGUGUCCGACCCUGCAAAAUAAGUUCCACAUACCACUGUAGAGAGAAUAAUAUUUUCACAAAUAUAAUUUGCUGACUUGUUUUGGCAACACGACAUUAUGCCAUGGCCUGGUGAUUAUUCGAACCGUUUCCUUUAACUAGCCCCGCACAUAACGCGAGGCAGUUUUUCGACAUGUCUUGUCAAAGCAAAGAUCGUGUCCCCUUAUUACGGGAUUCUCAUCAAUACGGGCGUGGGUAACCCAACCGUGUCUAGGACUACUAGAUCAUAGGCAAGUCCCAAAUGGCUACGGAGAGGACGCUUGAUAUUCACCCUCUUUAUAAAGGGACAAGGCUUUUACUUUUUUCCCUCUUGUGCUCAAUCGAAUCCUUCCCCCGCCUCAAGUUCUAACACCCAAAGCCCAGGUCAGGUGCUCCGGAUCUUCAAUCAUGUCCAGAUCUAGCCUUCAAGUCCGGUGGAUGCCCUCCUCCAUUACAGAAGAAGACAUCAAGGAGUUGAGGGAGGCCAGAUACCUGACCACCGAGGUUUCGCAUCAGCUGACUGCCCGAGGGCAGGUCGUCCCUACUCCUGAACCCAAUGAAGAUGUCGUGUUCAUCUUCCACUUCCUCCGAGGACUAGGCCUCACUCUGGAUCCCUUCGUUAGGGGGUUGAUGUUUUAUUAUGGGCUAGAUUUCCACGAUCUAGCCCCGGACUCCUUUCUCCACAUCUCGACAUUCAUUUUCGUGUGUGAGGCCUUCCUCCGCAUUACCCCUCACUUCGGCAUGUGGCUCACGACCUUUGACAUGAAGCCGAAGAUGGUAGAGGGGCAGUAUGCAGCGUGCGGAGGCGCAUUAAUAAGCAAGAUAGCAGGAGCUCCGUGGCCCAAAGGUUCCUUUCCAGAGGUGUCCGGAUUAUGGCAACAGGGGUGGUUUUAUAUCACAGCUCCCCGAAGUGCCAAGUGGGUGGUUGCCCCUGCUUUUCGCUCAGGCCCUCCACCACAACUGAUGUCAUGGAUUAGCAGAGGGCUGAGCUGGGGUCCUGCCAAGGACGUGCCUGUACUGCAAAGCCGCAUCCAAAAUCUCUUCGAAGGAGAUUUCAGUUUGAUUAUGGCGGCGCAAGUCAUGCUCGUUCGUCGAGUCCAGCCUUGCAAACGCCGGCCCCUCCGCAUGUGGGAGUUCAACCCAGAAGGGCCGCAUACUAUUUAGAAUUUCCUCAGCCUGACGCAUGAGGAGAUGUACAAAUCAUUCUUUGGACCCCAAAUAGAGUGUCCGGAUACCACCGAGGACGUGGGCCUAAGCAGCAACCGUACCGCCGACCAAGUAAGUAAUCUUUAAGCCGAACAUACCAUCUUUUGUUUACCACGACGUCAUUCUGAGAAAUCGCUCUUUGACCAGGACUGGAUAACAAAGGCGAAGAUGAUUCGGUGUUCGACCCCCCUUCCUGAGGGUUUGGAAAAUCCGGUACUGGAAAAGAUGCUCGAGCUAGCACCUUGCCCGGAGCCCUCAAAGGAAGACAAAGGGGGGAAUAAUGAUGGCGAAAGUGGACCUCCAUCGCUACCCAUUCCAAUAGAGGGAACGAGCGCUUCUGUGAGGGAGGAUAACCGAGGGGAGGAAUCGGACAUUCUCUCACCCCAGGGAAGGAAGAGGACUACCUCUGAAGAUCCGGAAACCAAGGUUUCCAAGCGGGAGAAGAAAUCUCCGCCAGAGGGUCCUGCCUUGGAGGGUGCUCUUGCCGCACAAAGUCCGCGCGGGGAUCAGCCCUCCAACAAGCUGUAAGUAAUCAGAAAGUACUUUAAUAGUGGAGAUAUACUACCUUGCCUCUGAGGAAAAUAACCAAAGUAUUUAUUGCAGUUCGGAUCUUAGCCCUUCUCAGCAGAGCUCAUCUUUGGGGGAUCUUCUUCCAGAGAUGAUGGAGAGCGAAACGCCUCCCUCGGACUCCUCCGCUCAAGAAGCGGGCAACCUUGAAGUGUCGUCACGGAGGGCCUCUCCGGAUCCGGUGAGGCCAGAAGAUAAUCCUAUAGUCACCCGAAGUCCCCAGCGUCCAUCUCUCGAAGAGAGCAAACAGAAGAGUCCGGCACCGUCUGGUAUGCGGUCGGACGUAGUGAGAGAGCUAUUGGAGCGAGCGGCCAUCUCAGAAUAACACUAUACAUUGAUGGGUACGGUGAUGGAAAGGAUCUCAUCCGCCGAAAGCAGGUUGCAUGAUGCCUUUAUGAGUCUACUGACGGGCUUUGAGGUACGUAAAAUGAUGUACAUUUGUGAUGGUACCGCACAUUUUUAGGUGUGCCCUGUGUAGGUAGUAGCCCUGAGACUCUGGUUGUAGCCGAGAACGGCGGCAAAUAGAGGAUCGUAGUCCCAGGCAAUAACCGUACCGCUUUAAUGUGCAGGUAGUGGGAGCUCCAGUGGCUAGCCGGACUCAUGAAUUUGCCGAACUGAAGCGGCAACUGGAUGCGGCGAAUGCCGACAUCGAGCUUGUUAACAAGAGGCUUGACGAGUUACAGGGUAAGUGUUAAUUUCUGGUGAAUGCCACAUAGUAAGAGCAGCAUGAUGCCAGUAUCUUUAAUAUGUUGUGACUGCAGAUGGAGCAGCCACCGUGGAAACCUUGCGGGCGGAACUUGCCCGAGCCAAAGAACAAGCAAGGAUUAGUAAUGCGGCUGCUUUGAAGGCGGCCGAAGAGUUGAAAGCCGAGAAGGCCGCGCAUUGCGAGAGCAAAGAGCAGAUGGCCAAGAUGGCCAUAGAAUUAAAAGACACUACCGAAAGUUGCCAGGUCUUUGAAAAAGAGAACCGAUUGAAGGCAGCGCACCUUGAAAAGGCCACGAUGGCGAACAAAGACAUCCGCUCUGCUAUGAGAGUGAAGAAGGAGGAGCUGCAUGAAGCCGGGGAUAUUACGGCUGGGAAGCCAUUCAUGCUAUAGAGAAAGUUCGGAGAUCCACGGUAUGCCCCUCUGGAUCGGCUGUGGAGUUUGCCAGACGCAUAUAUGGACUUGGCGGCGAGCGCUGCCGAUGCAACCAAAUACUUCCAAGGUUAAACAUAUCGUGAAGUGGACAAGCUGUUUUGGUCGCAAUUCAAUGUUUCAGAGCGUCCGCUUCUAUUGACUGAUCAGCUAGCCGAAUGGGCUGAACUGAAUAGGUUGUCCGAACUCGCCAUGAGGUCUGUCGUGGAUCAGCUGUGGCCGAAAAAGUCGAAACCAAAUAGCUAUUUCAGCUUAGUGCAGCAGUUCCUUGGUGCGGUGCCGCACAUCAAUGCAAUGAAGAGGUUGGCGUGCAUAGAAGGCUCGUGGAUGGCCCUUGCCUGUGUUAAAGCAUACUGGGCAGAGAUGGAUGCUACCACUGUUGCGGCGCAGGGUUCGGCCAUAGGCCGAGUGGCUGCCGAGCACUAUUUCAAAGAGGUUCUCAAGGGUGCUCGUUUGAUAGAGGCCCAGUGCUCAAAGGAUAUUAUGUUUGAGUGACAUGUAUUCCCAUUGUAAACACAAUGUUUUUAUGAAAUUUAUUAAGGCUGUGUUUAUUCUUUUGCCUGAAAGUAAUAUGAUGCCUCCUGUGCGGCCGUUUAUGUAUACAUGUGUAUAACCUGAAAGAUUGCAGUCGUCGGCUUCAGCCCCCACACAUAUAAUGCGGAGGUGUUCGCAGAAGAUGUGUGUUCACACUUAACCCAACGUCUUGGUUCUAUUAAGGAGGUGAUAGCACAGCGAACGAGGCAACCGGACUAUAAUGCUUUAACACUUUCACUUAGCCAUAGGAGUUUCACGGUGGGGCUACUAUAUAGCCCCUGUUGGCUUCGCACUCUCCCGAAUUCAGGGUGCGUACAUGCCUGGCCGGGAAACGGCCCUUCGUUAAGGCGGGGGAAUUCUAACAUUCCGAUAGGUCAUCAAGUGGUUGACCAGUCUCACGCUAUAUCAUGACAGUCAGUUUUCGGCUUUCUCUAUUGAGGUGCUCGUCCAGAUGACCCGGGGCACAAUCGUAGUAGUUCUCCUAGUGCUACCUUAGACGAUAGAGCGGAACGUAAGGUACCAAAACAUAGGAGCCGGGCAAACCCAACAUUUGACCAAAGACAUGAUUCGGAGCUGUGCAUAUAAGGCCAAACUCAUGACGCCGAACACUCCCUAAGGUAUUCGGUCUUUAUUGUAUAAACCGGGCCUAAAUAGUGCCCUUUGUAAGAAGCCCCUGGUGUCCAGGUACAUGCAUUAUUCUGACGUGGCCACAUGCCAAGACGCCAGCAUCCUUCUCAAUUGUACUGAGAAUCCGAGGGAUGUGUCUCAAUAAGAGACAGUAAAAAAGGUUGACGCAGGGUCUUAAUCUAAAAAGAAUCCUUGGGGCGGGUCCCUGCUGCACGUCUGCGCCUGUGUCUCCAUUGUGCUGUAUCCUGGACGGGUGUAGCACGAUGGUCAUCUGUAAAAGAGAGAAACUUAGGUGAAAAGUUGUCGUGCAAAAAGGUAGGUUUGAAGAAACCAUGUAUAAUUCAAGAUGAGUAAAAACAGCCACUUGUCUGCACGGGUUGAGCCCCUUGUAUUUGUAAUAGGGUUGUGGCUUAUCAAACCUGUGUGAAUUACAUAUGGCUGCGCCGGACUCGUCUAACCGUGUCCGUGGUCUUCACGACCUAUCAAAUGCUUUAGCUGGUGAGACCCUUUUUAGUGUGCGGCUGCCAAGGUAGUCGCACUCUCUUCGGCGCGUAGGGAUCACUUAAUAUUUCCAUUUACUGUAAUGAUGCCACGUGGACCGGGCAUCUUAAGUGUAAGGGAAGCAUAGUGCGGUAUUGCAUUAAAGCGAGCGAAAGCUUACGUCCAAGUAGUGCUUGAUAGCCACUUUGGAACGGAGCAAUGUGGAAUGUGAAAUGUUCGCUACGGAAGUUAUCGGGGAAGCCGAAUAUAACCUAUAGUAGCAGGGAGCCCGUGCAAUGAGCCCCUGGGCCCGACGUUACUCCUUUAAGGGUAGUAUUGUUUAGGCAAAUUUUAGUUGGGUCUAUCCCCAUUUUGCGGAUUGUAUCCUAGUAUAUCAGGUUUAAACUGCUGCCACCAUCCAUCAGGAGUCGUGUAAAGUGGUAUCCGUCAAUUAUUGGGUCUAAUACCAGGGCAGCCCAUCCUGCACGCCGGAUACUUGCUGAGUAAUCCCGAUGGUCAAAGGUGAUCGGUUGAAACAACCAGUGGCAGGACUCCGCGGUGAUAGGCCUUUGGGCAAUUUAUCUGGGAGUGCUGCUUUGUUUCUCCCCUUUAUCACGUGUAACACGUUUACUGGUUUGACUUCUGGUGGAAAUUUCUUUUGUUCCCCAGAGUCUUGCUUGAGAGGCUCAUCCUCAUCUUCGCUUGGUGUAUCCUCCCCCUUGUGUACGGCGUUGAGCUUGCCGGACUGCUUGAAGACCCAACAUUCUCUGUGGGUAUGCUGUGGGUAUGAUUAGCAGGUUUACCGGGGGUGCUAUGGAUCUGACAUACUUGGUCCAGAAUUUUGUUUAGGCUAGAUAGUUCGUCUCUGGCACCUUUAGAAGGCGGCUUUUGCUGACUUGGCCGAGAGCUUUUGAAUCUGGUGUUUACUGCUGUGCUCUUCGUGCUGUCGUCUUUAUUCCGACGUUUGUUAUUGUUGUUGCGCCGUGAUUUCCCGUUUCCAUCUCUAACUUCGGAUGUACUGGGGUCGCUAGUGCUGCAUCUGGCUAGCUAGCUAUCCUCACCCGUGCAAAAGCAGGUCAUGAGGCUUGUUAAUGCUGCCAUUGUUCUCGGCUUUUCUUGGCCGAGGUGUCUGGCAAGCCAUUCGUCACGAACGCUAUGCUUAAAAGCUGCCAAGGCUUCGGCGUCCGGACAGUCGACUAUUUGGUUCUUUAUAGUAAGAAACAUGUUCCAAAGCUUUUGGGCUGACUCUCCGGGCUGUUGAGUUAUAUGACUCAAAUCGUCCGUGUCCGGAGGUCGGACAUAAGUCCCUUGAAAAUUUGCCCGAAAAUCGUCUUUGAGCUCUUCCCAGCUUCCAAUGGAGCUUUUGGGGAGGCUUUUAAGCCAGUGCCAAGCUGGCCCUUUGAGUUUGAGGGGUAAAUACUUAAUGGCGUGGAGAUCAUCUCCUCGAGCCAUAUGGAUAUGGAGGAUAUAGUCCUCAAUCCAGACCCCAGGGUCUGUUGUUCCGUCGUAUGCUCUAUGUUUACGGGUUUGAAUCCUUGUGGUGUGCGGCACCCCUAUAUCUGGGUGUACUGUAGUGUUCGGAUGUUUGUUGUGUUGUAUCGUAUGCUAGAGAGCGCCUGCGUGGUCCAUAGAUGGAUCUGGUUGCGCCGUCCUUUUGAUGCGAGCCCUGGCGUGGAUCGCGUAUUGGCUUAUGUGCGGCAUUGCUUGCCACUCUAUGUUGGCCGUGAGGUCGUCUAUCCGGCCAGGUGGCCGUUUUAAUUUUUGGUUGCGGGGGAUCUAAGGCCUCCUCAUCGAAUUCGGGUAGCAACUUCCGCUUCAGGUAGCUCUUGGUGGGGCGAUUACCGCCGUAUUUCGCUGCUGCGUUGAGUACUUUGCUCCAUCUGAUUCUGAGUGUGUCUUGUGCAGCCUUGAGUCUUUGCUUUUGCUUUUUUAGACUCCUUGUGGUGGAAACAAGCCUUUGAUGGGUAUUCUGUUGCUCCGGGUGUCUGUCCGGUGUGAAGUGGUCCAGACUAUUUUCUUUGACGGAGUCAGGUUGUUCGGCUUGAUCCUCCGUGUUGUCGUGGUCCGGCAAUGGUUCCCCCUGCUCCAACGCUGGGUCUGUAUGAUCGUUGUUUCUACCGAGGCGGGAUUUGGGGCGGCGCUUACACCGCUGCUUUGACUGCUUCUCGAGGGGACAACCCUUUGUUGCGUCCUUCCAUUCCUCGUCGUCGUUUUCUCUUGGUGUGUUCACCAUGUAUACGUCAUGUGGUGAAGUGGCUGUCCAGUGCCUUGUGGGCAGUGGUUCCUCUUCGUCUCCCGCAUCGUCGUCCAUACCGUCGAUGUCUUCGGAGUCGAAGUCGAGCAUGUCGGUUAAGUCAUCGAUAGUGGCUACUAAGUGGGUGGUGGGUGGGCUGCGAAUUUCUUCGUCGUCCGCAUCCUAGUUCUGCCGGACAUAGUUCGGCCAGGAUCCUCCUGACAAGGAGAGAGACCUUAAUGAGUUUAGUAUGUCGCCCAAGGGCGAGUCUUGAAAAAUAUCCACGGAGGUAAACUCCAUGAUCGGCGCCCAAUCGGAUUCGAUAGGAGCAGGCGCAGGCGGCUCGGAGUCCAUGGCUGGGUAAGGAUCCGACAGUUUAACAACACGGCUCUCGUGCAAGGUAAGGUCAAUGUUCGGCUCGAUCGCCGCUAAGGGUAAGGCUUCCGCGGCGGGGUCCAUCCACCCGUCCGCGGAAGGCGCAACUGGCUCCAAAUUGAGGGUCGGAGCGGUUGCCUGUGCGAUCUCUUGAACACUAUCCGAUGGUAGAGCUAAAUCGUACUCAUCGUCACCGCGUGGCGCACAAGGCAGAGGCUCGAAUCCGUCGAAGAUCAUGUCUCCAUGGAUAUCGGCCGUGUAGUUUAAGCUUCCAAACCUGACUUGAUGGCCAGGGGCGUAACUUUCAAUCUGCUCCAGAUGGCCAAGCGAAUUGGCCUGCGGUGCAAAGCCGCCGAACACAAAGAUCUGUCCGGGGAGAAAAGUCUCACCCUAGACUGCAUCGCCAUCGAUGAUAAUAGGAGGCAUCAAGCCUAACGGCGACGACAUAGAGGAACUCUCAAUGAAAGCACAAAUGUCGGUGUCAAAACCGGCAGAUCUCGGGUAGGGGGUCCCGAACUGUGCGUCUAAGGCAGAUGGUAACAGGAGGCAGGGGACACAAUGUUUUACCUAGGUUCGGGCCCUCUUGAUGGAGGUAAAACCCUACGUCCUACUUGAUUAAUAUUGAUGAUAUGGGUAGUACAAGAGUAGAUCUACCACGAGAUCGGAGAGGCUAAACCCUAGAACCUAGCCUAUGGUAUGAUUGUAUGUUGUAGUUGUUGUUGUCCUACGGACUAAAACCCUCCAGUUUAUAUAGACACCGGAGAGGGUUAGGGUUACACAAGGUAGGUUACAAAGGAGGAGAUAUCCAUAUCCGUAUUGCCUAGCUUGCCUUUCACGCCAAGUAGAGUCCCAUCUAGACACGAGACGAAGCCUUCAAUCUUGUAUCUUCAUAGUCCAACAGUCCGGCCAAUGGAGAUAGUCCGGCUGUCUGGAGACCCCCUAAUCCAGGACUCCGACACACGUGUCAGCUCCGCGUUGGCACAGGUGUCACUCAUCCAAUGGGCAAGGUGCGCCUACGAUAUGUUGACACGUGGACCGGCCCAAAAGUGGCCCAUAAAUAUUAAAUGGGCCGGCCCAAUUAAGGGCCCACAAGAUUUUGCAGACCAUAAUGGGCCAGCCCAGCUAAAGGCCCACGAGAUUUUGCCGACUAUAAUGGGCCGACCUAGCUAAAGGCCCACAAGAUUUUGAGGACACCAGUGGGCCGACCUGUUAACAGGCUGCCAUGUUUUGGGCCAAAUGUCGGCCCAUAUUUGAUCCAGUCCAUUAACAGUUGGCCAUGUUCCGGGCCUAAUAAAGGCCCAUAUGAGAUCCGACCCGUUAAAAGCCUACCACGUUCUGGGCCAAAUUACGGCCCAAAUCAGAUCUGACACUUUAAGAGGCUUCGGGCUAAAUUAUGGCCCAUAUCAAAUUCGGCCCAUCAACUGGACACUAUGCUUUUGGGUCGGGGUCUAUUUCGGCCUGCUGUCGGCCCGUGAGCUGUUCGGCACGUUUCAGACCCAACAUACUUUUCAGCCUACUAAAAGCCCAUUGAGUUUUCUUGAGAAAAUAGGGACGACGGUUUAUUCGGCCUACUAAAGGCCCGAAUCUACUAGUGGGCCAGUUUACAUUUAGGCAUGUUAACAGACCAAGAUGACUAGGCCCAUGAUGCGGAUCAUACAUAGUGAUUUGCAUGACGGCCCGAUUAUGUACCGUAAUUGUAUGGUUUGGCCGGUUUACUGCGAAGACAGGAUAUAUAUACAGUAAAAUAACUGCAACAUCGUGAAUAAGAAAAAAACCUAGACUAUACAAUAAAGAAAUUACAGCAUAUUACAUCCACUGGGCAUCAAAGUUCGCCCCUAUGAUAAUAAAGCACAAGCAGAUAGCAGAUUACAUACAUUGGGCAUCAAAGAUCACCACCAAUGCAAAUAAACACGCCGACAAAAUAAUAUACAAAACCGACAACACUUCAAUAGAGUUCAAGAAAGGUUAGCCCUGCUCGGGAGCUGUAGCGCAAGCAGCUAAGCAAGCUGAUGAGACUGCGCUUGUUUGACACUUAUAUCCUCCUCACUCUGAAAGAUAAAUAAGUAAACAGAUGACAUGUUUUGCACAUAUAAGUAUCAGUGCUGACAAUUCAUCACAUUUCUCACUGACAAAUAAUGUGACACAAUUUAAAAUAGCAUUAACACAAUAUGGUAUUGUUCAGGUUGAGACAUGGCAGGAAAUGACAUUGUGAAGGAGUUGGCAGCUUCACGACACCACUGCAUUACAUAUCAAGAACUCAUAAGUAUCAAUGGUUAGUGCGCUGUCAAUUUAUCCCAUUUCAAAUUGGCAAAUAAAGAGACAAUUUAAAUAAUAGUAAAAUGAUAUGACAUUGUUCAUAGUUGACAUUGCAGAAUAUGACAUUGUGCUGUAGUGGGUAGGUUCACCACACCACUAGAUUAUGGAUCAAGAACAGAAGCAUACAUGUAGUACAAAAGAAGAUCACUUGCUCUGUAUAGUUUAAUUUACAUGGUAUGAAGAAGGAACUUGUUUGUACAACUGAAAACUUAAAUUGAGAAAGACAAACUUUUGUCUACGAACUACAUAAUAAACUUUAAACAUGCAAUUUGAUGCAAACACCAAAAAUAAACAGCUGUUGCAGUCAUGCCUAACCAAAUAUACACAACAAAGUUUGAAGGCUUGAGAAGGACAAACUUACAUUAUUGGUGAAGACAAGCUCUAUAAAGCCCUUGUCCAUGCUGAUGGGGGGGGGCACACUGGUGCGCAUCGGUCCUAAACAAACGGUUUUAACCCCUUUCCGCGAUGGCAUUUGGAACCGUCACCAAGUGAGUGUGGGUGAUAGGGAGGGUCCUUCCCACACGACUCAGAAACCGUCAGGGAUAGGGCCCCUACAGUAAUCCUACACGUUUCUGCUCGCAUUGCAACCGCCGUCGAUAUUCUGUGGUGCUACAUUUACGAUGCGAGGCCCAUCACAAACGGUUCACUGUUAUAUAACGUGUAUGAUGCGCGGCCCAUCAUAAACGGUUCACCGUUAAGAAUACUAGCUAAUCGUCGUACGAGUGUCGGACAGGAUUACGAAACGUCGGACCGUCUUAACAUUGUCAUACACAACAACUAUCGCACACACUAUCUUGUGGUGCAAUGUUUGUGAUGCAUACUUCAUCAGAAACAGUUCAUGGUUGUGAAUCGUGUACGAUAAGGCAACUAACACAAACGUUUAGUUUGCCCGCACCAUUUGUGAUAUUGUCUCACAUCGCACACGGUUUGCAAACGGCAACUGUGUGCAUGCUUGCACACGUUUCCUCUAUGUGAACCGUCUCGGAUUAUGGUGCAUAUCGCAAACGUUUGUGUUUUACCAACCAUGUGUGCUGUAACAACCUGGAGAGUGUAAUUUCACCCUAAUUUAAUUGAUGCUUUUCCAAAUUGUACCAGAUUUGAAUUUGAAUUUGAAUGUAUGCUACAGCUUUAUUCAUAUCCAUCAGGUUCAAACAACCAAUGCAUUAUUCGAUUCAUAGGUACAUAUGUUCAAGAAUUACACAAGAACCAAAUAAAGAAUGAUGAACCACAGUUGUAUACUUGUACUAUUAAAGACGGUAAAGAAAGAGGCGAAAUAUAUUCUGGUUGCUGAACAAGGUGAAGCGGAAUGCUCAUAUUAUGCCCUCCUCCAUGAAGAAGGCACACACGACUCUAGUCCAACCCCUUGUGAUGGCCGACCGCCCAUCCUUCAUGGUCUUCAUGAAAACAUCUAGAUAAUCAUCGUGUUCUAGUAGAAAUACUUUAACCUUUGCAUGCCCACCAAUCAUAUAGUUUGAGAGGUAAUCUUGAGUAAACUGCUUUGGAAACCACUACAAAGGAAAAAUAUUCAGACAUUGUCAUCUAACACAACUCAUUAUGGGCAGUAAAAAGAAGGUUGCAGAGUUCUUACUUACCAUCCUGCAGUUCGCUGUUGUCUUGGAUAAAGUGUAAACAAAUAGUUUAAUUGCCAUCUUUGGACACAUUUUACUAACAAUCUUUAUCAGCUUCCUCACUUGAUGCUGGUUCAUCGAUAUCUCAUUGCCCCAUACGCAGAAAGGGUCGAAGCGUGGAUCUUUACCAAUGACAUAUGUACCUAAAAGCACCAAGUUAAUAUUAGAAGCUAAACAUCAAUUGCACAAUGAUGUAGCAUAAUACUCUUUUAUAAUAUGUCUAUAUACAUCUGUAUGUGGUAGUCCAUUUGAAAUCUCUAAAAAGAUAAAUAUUUAGGAACGGAGAGAGUAUCUUAUAACAUCCAAUAUACUCACAUAUUAGAUGAAUUAACAUCUUAUAUUAUGGGCCAGAAGGAGUUUAGUGCAUUCUUACAAAUUAUCGGCUGAUUAACUGCUACUGUAUCUAGGGUUUACAGUUAGUUUGAGCUAGUUCGGGCUCAAAUAGCCCUAAAGUAUAUCUAAACAUGAGGGCUAGUUCGAGCUAGUUGCAUCUAUAACCCACCCAGAAAAACUAUCCAACCCAAGAGGUGCUAAUUGGAGCUAGUUCUCCUAGUGCAUUUAUUGUCAAUAUAACCCUGCCAUCCAAACAACUCUUUGGAUGGGGUUAGUUCAGGGUUAGUAAUGAGAUUGAAACUAACUCUAACCUCUUGCUAAGUUGAGUAUCCAAACAGGGUUGUGUUGUUGUUGUUUUUGUUGCUUCUCUUCUGCGUAUAUCUAAACAUCAUUAGAACAUUAAUGUAACACUCUUCCUUGUUGCUAUGUAGCCUAGGAUUGCAUAUUUAGACAUUAAGUAUAGUGCAUGUUGCUAUGUAGCCUCAGAUAUAUUACAUGUUGCCCUAGUUAACCUAAUGAUAAAUGGGUUGCAGAUAUAUUCAGUUAAAAGUCUGAUUCACCAAUUAGUCAGUUAUCAGCCGCCAGCCUAUAUGGUACCAGCUACCGAUAUCCUGAACAGUGAGAAGAUAUAAGCCAUGGGAUGAAACUCACCUCGAUGGAAAACACCAGUUGUUCCCAAAAUUGUCCUAUGUAGGUACAUCGACAAGCAUGUUAAGCAUAACAGUUCAUACUUGCACAUGUAGAACAUCACAUUGUGAAUAACUGGAAUAAACAAGGCAUACUACGAACAACCAAAGAUAGCAUUUGAAACUGGACAUAUGCUAACUACAAACAACCGAACAAUCCAAAAACUUUAAAAGAGGCAUAUGCUAGCUAUAACAGGCUUAACGACAAGCAAAUAUAUGCAUUCCUAUCGGUGUGUUUAAAACUGGAUUGAUGAAAUGCACUACACAUUAAAUAAUUGCACAUAUAUAGCAUUAAAUUGUGAACAACUGAAAUAAACAAGGCAUACUGCAAACAACCAGAUAUAGCAAUUAAAACUGGACAUAUUCUCACUACACUACAAAAGGGACCCGACAAAACAAAUCAUGGGUUUCCCCCUGUGAAGAGGCAUGACAAAACAAAUCAUGGGUUUCCUCAUUUGUCACAGAUGGGCUCGUUCGCGUGGGAAGAGCACGGACCCUGGAUACGCUCCAUGUUGUCGCAGAUGGGCUCAUUCCCCUUGGAAGAGCACGGCUGUAGGGGGCCCUCCCUCAUGUCGCGGACGGGCGCUUUCCCCUUGGAAGAGCAAAUGGGCUCUUUCCCCUUGGAAUAUACGGAGAGGGUGCCCUCCUCGUGGUCGCCGUCGAUGAGGUCUGACUUGGAAGUUGUGGAUCCCAAGCCAGCUUCGCAGAACGUGUCCUUCAGAAAUGACAAAAGGGGCUCAAUGGCGAUGUAGAAUGUCAAAUUGUUAACAGCGAGUGAGAGGAUACCAACGGAGGGGCCAUGGAUGAGAUCGACGGGGUUGAACCCGAGGGGUUGGGGUGGGCCACUUAACCUGUGAUAUAGCCUGCCUCAGGCCAUCGCUGUUGAUGACCUCGAUGUCGUAGCUGGUGGAUGAGACAUGCCCGCAUACUCUAGCCUGCUGCUUGAGUGCCUGCCACCAGUAAUGGUCGUCUGCUUCCUCGGCGAUGUCGGGCGAAGAGACCGCUAUACACCUCCUUUGGGCCAGUCGCUCCUCGAGCUCCACAGGAAGCGUAGUCGGGCUUAGGCUGCAAUGCUCUGGAGUGGGGAAUGGGGAUGGGAAUCUAUGGGAAAGGGGGUGUUUGGCAGGCGUCAUCUAAGAAACUCAGGGCGGCUUGGGUAUGGAGAUCGGUGGGUAAGCUGCACGGGCAAACUGGCAGAUGUUGAAAUGGAGGCCUUGCAGUGGCGGCGGCGGGGACCUUGCUAGGGUUUCGAGAGAGGGAGGGUGUGUGUGUGUGUGUGCAUGCCCAAGGAGGUUUUGGUGUGUGUGUGUGUGUGUGUGGAGGGGCGGGGGGCGGGGUGUUUGAGGAAAUGAUGCGGGUACUGAAAAUUUUACUACGCGGGAGUCAAACGUGGGAUUGAAACGCCGGGCUAUUGAAAAUUUUGAUGAUAGUGCAUCGCACACGGUCCGGAGAUAACAACCGUGUGUUAUGAAGCAGAAAAACCCUCGAGACAGACAUAUAUUUUAUAGGGAUGCAGGCGGGAUUGGGAACAAGAAACAUUGCACACGGUCCGGAGAUGACAACUGUGUGUUAUGAAACAGAAAAACCCUCGAGGCGGGCAGAUAUUUUUGAGAGGGGGAACCUUGUGGAGCCCAAUUUACUGUGCGGAUGUGUGCGUGAUAGGUGCACCAACGUCACACACGGGUAGUUUGAGUGAACCGUGUCUGUUGCGUCAUUUGACUUAUCUAAUGUUCAUUAAUUUGGCAAAAAAUGAUGCGGGAGAGGGUCAGAACAUGGACACACUUGCAUGUGGACCAAAUUUAUGUAUCAAAAGGGUGGUUUGAUUUUCAAAUACCAAAUGCAACUUCGAUGUGGCACCUCUCUCGCAAAGCACACUGUAUUGCUUGCCCCCACCCCCUUGUGUCGGCACGAAGGGAAUUCUAAGCUAUGAAUGCAUGCCCCUCCCCCCCAACUGAGGUUCACCCUAGCAAAGUGUGAAGUAGCUAGCAGCCCCCUCCUCCCUCGUGUCGGCACGAAGGGAAUCCUAAGCUAUGAAUGCACCCCCAACCGAGGGUCAUUCACCUAGCAAAGUGCGAAGAAGCUAGCAGCCCCCCUCCCCCUCCCUCGUUUCGGCACGAAGGGAAUCCUAAACUNNNNNNNNNNNNNNNNNNNNNNNNNNNNNNNNNNNNNNNNNNNNNNNNNNNNNNNNNNNNNNNNNNNNNNNNNNNNNNNNNNNNNNNNNNNNNNNNNNNNNNNNNNNNNNNNNNNNNNNNNNNNNNNNNNNNNNNNNNNNNNNNNNNNNNNNNNNNNNNNNNNNNNNNNNNNNNNNNNNNNNNNNNNNNNNNNNNNNNNNNNNNNNNNNNNNNNNNNNNNNNNNNNNNNNNNNNNNNNNNNNNNNNNNNNNNNNNNNNNNNNNNNNNNNNNNNNNNNNNNNNNNNNNNNNNNNNNNNNNNNNNNNNNNNNNNNNNNNNNNNNNNNNNNNNNNNNNNNNNNNNNNNNNNNNNNNNNNNNNNNNNNNNNNNNNNNNNNNNNNNNNNNNNNNNNNNNNNNNNNNNNNNNNNNNNNNNNNNNNNNNNNNNNNNNNNNNNNNNNNNNNNNNNNNNNNNNNNNNNNNNNNNNNNNNNNNNNNNNNNNNNNNNNNNNNNNNNNNNNNNNNNNNNNNNNNNNNNNNNNNNNNNNNNNNNNNNNNNNNNNNNNNNNNNNNNNNNNNNNNNNNNNNNNNNNNNNNNNNNNNNNNNNNNNNNNNNNNNNNNNNNNNNNNNNNNNNNNNNNNNNNNNNNNNNNNNNNNNNNNNNNNNNNNNNNNNNNNNNNNNNNNNNNNNNNNNNNNNNNNNNNNNNNNNNNNNNNNNNNNNNNNNNNNNNNNNNNNNNNNNNNNNNNNNNNNNNNNNNNNNNNNNNNNNNNNNNNNNNNNNNNNNNNNNNNNNNNNNNNNNNNNNNNNNNNNNNNNNNNNNNNNNNNNNNNNNNNNNNNNNNNNNNNNNNNNNNNNNNNNNNNNNNNNNNNNNNNNNNNNNNNNNNNNNNNNNNNNNNNNNNNNNNNNNNNNNNNNNNNNNNNNNNNNNNNNNNNNNNNNNNNNNNNNNNNNNNNNNNNNNNNNNNNNNNNNNNNNNNNNNNNNNNNNNNNNNNNNNNNNNNNNNNNNNNNNNNNNNNNNNNNNNNNNNNNNNNNNNNNNAUCGGCGGGCCAGAGAGGCAUAUAUAUCACCAAGAUGGAUCGUAUAACAGACCAAGAAUAAUCCACCUUGGUCGUACAACCUCUCUCUUUUUGUUGGUCGAAGUGAUGGCCGUCCAUGCGACCCCGGAGAUGGGCUAGCUUGCCAAUAAUCACGCAAGUAGCUAGUCCCCGAAGACAACCACUGCAUGCGUGUGGCCCAAACAUAUGUAUGGAGAGGUGUGUUUUUGAGUUAUAAUGGAACAACUUUGAUGUGGCACCGUGAUUUCGAACUAGAAAUCCCCAGACUGAGUGAGGGUUAGGUUGAUGAUGCAUAUGUAUGUUACACCACACUUCAUGCCAACAACGGGGAUUCAUGCAUGCGUGCAUAGUAUAUGCGCUCAAACUUAAUUAGCUCUGAAUCUCACCAUGGCCUAUACUAUGAUAACACGAACCAAAUGAAGAAUCCACCAUGGUAACCUAUCUUGUUGUUGGUCAGGUGAUCAUGGAUGCCCACGCGGGCCCACGAAUAUAUAGGCUUGUCGCCGAUAACCACGCGAGGGAGUGUACCGUUUGAAGGCAACCACUACAUGAAUAUGUAUGGAGGUGAUGCAUGCAUGCAUGUUUGAAUACACAAUAUUGAUGUGGCGCGUGUGUCAAAAAUUGUACACUAGCUCCCCACACAGAGCGAGAUUGGUUCAUGAUGUGUCGAUGGGAGGGAUUCAUGCGUACACAUGCAUGUGUGUGUGCUUAAGCUGUAUCAUGCAUGUCAUCCCAGAGCAAAAAUAAUAAUCCCCUCCUAAGUCAAAUUAACCUCUCUUGUUGUCAGGCAAAAAGUAGUGAUGGACCAAGCGGGCCCACAAAUGGAAAGCAUCGAUAUCGUUGAUAACCGCUUAAGUGGGUGCAAGAGGACAACCACCACCGCUUUGCAUGUGGGCCAAACAUAUAUAUGUUGAAUACCCAAAAUGCAGAACUUUGAUGUGCCACAUGCCUCAAAAACCGUAAACCAUGCACCCACACAAAGCGAGGUUCAUAUCAAGCAUACUACAUAUGAUGGCCCCCUUCCCCCCUCUUCACCGCAUACUAUAUGCUCCUACCGUAACAUAUGUAACCCAAAAUAAUCCUCGGAAACCAAUUUGAAUAACCAAUUUCACAAUUUUAAUGUGGCACGUGCCUCGGAAACCAAAAAGUCCCGACAUUGAGUGAGGUGUACUUGUUCACGGACACACACAUAUAGUAUAUAUGCUAGUCCCCUCCUACCUCUUCGACGCGUACUCUAUACCACCAUAACACAGACAAAAAAGAUUCUACCUUGUUGGUCAAAUGAACCUCACUGUCGGCUGUUCGUCAAAGUGAUGGACGACGACCUUGCGGGCCCAUAGAAAGCGUCACACGCGAGUAUCGAGUGUCGUGUAGGAUAACCAUCGACUGCAUGUGGCCAAAAUAUUUAUGUAUGACGGGGUUGUGUAAUGUUUUAAAUAACGAUUUCACGACUCUGAUGUGGCACCGGCCUGCCUAACAAAACGGCCAACCCACACGGUGGCUCACAACUGGUAGUGUACUACGAGCCACCCGCCACCCCAGACGCACACACCGACACACACACAGCGAAUGUACCGCAACUAUGAUGCAUGUUUAAUUAAUUAUCCCGCGGUGAACAUACAUGUUACCAAAUGAGGGACAUUUUAAUUUCAUAAAAAUCACAGAGAUCAUUAAUAUGUUUUAGUACACUGAUUGAUUGAUUUUCUACGGGUAUAAUGUGCAAAAAUCAAAUUUGAGCUACAUACACACGUGACGGUGCACCUAAAUGGAUUGCAAAAACACAUGUGUCUCUCUGGGUGCAUGUUUACUCCCCGUGCAACAAAUUUCUAACAUUGAGAAUCUUGAUUUUUAAAUUCUAGUACAUCCAAAACUUAUCUGAAGUUCAUGAAACUUAUCGUGUUGUCAUAUGGACACCAAUACAAAGUGGCAUUGUACUUUUUUUGUCAAAUUUGAGACCCGUUUUGAUGUAAUCUUUAUCUAAUUACAGAUGGGAGAUUAUUAAUAAUUGGGAACCAAUAUCCCAAACGGAUUAUUUAUUCGAACCGUGAGCGUUAGACUACCAAUGGAUACGUGCCAUGGUUCCGUUAAGCUAUAAAGCAGAAACAUUAAUCAUCCAAAUAGAAAAACAACAUAUGUUCCGCUGCAUGACCUAUGUGGCGUGCGAGCAGGCAUGAGUUGACGGGACGCAUCUGCCGCGUAGGCAGACGGGGAGGCUUGUGUGCAGGUGUGUCAAUUGACGGAGGCAUGCUCGCUGCAUAGUGUCAUCAAGAGGCGUGCGAGUAGCUGUGUGAAACUUUGGUAGGCAUGCCAGCAGUAUGGUGCGCAGGCUCACCGGGAGGCGAGCCAUCGGUUUGACCGCCACCUGCCUCUCUCCUACAACUCCCACUACUCCAUAUUAAUGGUGUGCCCGAGCGAUCGCACCCCAUCCUCUCUACACACACAAUCCUCUCUAUCCGCUUGCAUCCUUGACGCUGCUCUCAGUCCUCAAAGUCGUCAGUGUAUGAGGAUGCCACCGAAGUGCCUCAUCCGAGGGAGUGGCGACGCCGGGGCUGCUAAAGCACCAGAGCACGGCGUGGAGAUGGAGACAAAGGUUGCCGUCACCGCCGACGAGUUAUUGCUGCACCCUGAUGGCGUCGACGGCGUCGAGCUUCCAUAGCCGUAGGCAGAGUUCCACACCGAGUUCAAUGACCACUCCGGCGAUGACUCUGAUGACGACAGAUAGCUGGUUAGUCAUCUAUACCCAUUUAUGUGUCAAAUAGACCAUAGGGUUUCUCUGGUUACUCCUGCCUCCCCCUUUUUGGAAUAGAAAUCCUAUGGUUAUGUUCUCCCAAUCCAUGAAAUCUGAGUAAGUUUUGUUAGAUCCGUGUAGUGUAUUGAUUGUUUGAAUGGUACAUGUGAUAAGUGAUUAGUUGUUUCAUCUGUGCAAAUGAUUUCUGCUAGUAAUCCGACUAGGGUUAGUGUUCGUGCUAAUAAUUCCUAGCCAGGGCUUGACAAUUGAUUUUCAAUGACCUACGUAUGUUUGUGCCACUAUUCUCUUUAAGAUUGGUCUGUACAUAGACGACUGCGCUUAAAAAUCAAACCAUAAUCUCUGGAUAUGUAUAAAUAAAUAGCCAUAAAUUCCUAGUCCUACUUCAUAGCAUUUAAUCAUUGAUUUGAUGCCAAAUUUGUUUUACUAUUUGUAUAGGUGCUGUCCAGAGGAGGUACAACAGGCAAAUCCUGAGGGAGCUUUAUGCGGGAAUGCAUACCAGCCAUAUUAGGACCUGGAAUGGUGGCUAUGGAUGCCCAUUUUGCAACCAGAAGCUUCAUGACGCGUAUCUAAGUGUUUUGGCGCAUGCAAGAGGAUGGGCCAUUGGCUCCUUCAAGCAGAAGUAUUCCCGCAGGAUGGCGCAUGACGCGUACGCCGAGUACCUGGAGAAGCUUCGGGAUCGUGUUGGCUUAUGAGAUGAGAUGUGGGAUGGAUGGAACUAUAUAUGUGCGCUUGAGUAUGUUUAAUACUGUUGAACUAUGUACUACUUAUGGUUGAAAUAUGCUUAUAUACGUGUACGCUUAUUAUCUAUGUCUGAGUAUGUUAAAUAUUUCGCCAAAUUUUGGUAAAAAUUACAAUGGGGGACCAAUAAACCAGGAUGGAGGUAGUACGUCAAUCACACACGGUUCCCAAAAUUGGAACCGUGUGUAAUGACUUUCAUUUUGCCUGCUGCGUCAAUCACACACGGUUCGCUCUAGCAAACCGUCGCCCCCAAAAUUCUUUAUGGGACAGAAAACCCUCACCACCCAAUUCAAAAAAGAAAAAAAGAAAACCCUCACCAUCCCCACGUCACAAAAACCCUCACCCCGCCUGCCACCCCCUCGGCCCCUCUGGUACGUUCCCCAUCCACACAUGCACAAGCUUCUCCGCGUCUAUGCCAUGGCACCGCCUAUCAUGGCGGUAAACACUUAGCUCGACGCCUGCUGCCGCUGCCAGGCUGCCGGCAAAGCCCACCGCAUUUUGCCGCUUCCGCUUGCCGCCGCCUAUCGCCAUCGACUUUCUUGACGCUGCUCGCGGUCGACCAAGCUCCGCCCGGUUGGGGAAUCUACCAUACUGAGGGUUCUUUCUCAUGGACGACAAGGUAACUAGUUUAAUGAGAUAUUAUCUCAUCUCUUAUCCCAGUUCAUCUACCUCAUUUAAUGACCCGGUCAUGGUCAUGAGAUAUAUGCUAACUUCCCCGACAAAAUCAUCCGUCCAGACUUUGUUCAAAGUAAGUUUUCUUUUCAACUAUCUGCAUAUGUCGAGUUACCCCGCAAUGUCAAAUGAAUUGUGCAGUAUUUAAGCAACCAAUUGUUAUUCCCUUUUCUUACUAUAUUCCUACCUAAUAACUUCUAGUUACUAAUACACUUUUCUACUGCCCUGUUUUAACUAAAUAUUCCUUGUACUCCCAUUUCUACUAGAAAGCGCCGCUGACAAGGAGACUCCGGAGGUGGAGAACGGGGCUGCCAACAAGCGGAGGCGGGGCGAUGUAACACCCACGAUGCGGCUAUAUCUCCCACGUGUCGGAGCAUGACUUAGAGGCAUAACCGCAUAGUGGGCAUGUCGCAAGAGGGGUAAUCCUUACACAUCACAUGUACUGAAUACGAAAGGGAUAAAGAGUUGGCUUACAAUCGCCACUUCACACAAUACAUAAAUAUAGCAUUACAUCAUCCAGAAUACAAUCAAGGUCUGACUACGGAACCAAAUAAAGAAAGACAACCCCAAAUGCUAGAUCCCCGAUCGCCCCAACUGGGCUCCUCUACUGAUCGAUCGACAACGAAACAACACAACAAACAAGAACUUCAUCGAUCUCCCACCUGAGCUAGGUUGCGUCACCUGCACUGGUAUCAUCGGGACCUGCAACUGUUUGGAAGUAUCUGUGAGCCACGAGGACUCAACAAUCUCACACCCGCGAGAUCAAGACUAUUAAAGCUUAUGGGUAGGAAAGGGUAGUGAGGUGGAGCUGCAGUAAGCAGUAAGCAUAUAUGGUGGCUAACUUAUGCAAAAGAGAGCGAGAAGAGAAGCAAAUCAUGGUCGAUAAGCUAUAAUGAUCAAGAAGUCUUGUAACUACUUAUGUUCAAGCAUGACACGAGACCGUGUUCUCUUCCCGGACUCCACCGAAAAGAGACCAUCACGGCUACACACGCGGUUGAUUCAUUUUAAUUAAGUUAAGUGUCAAGUUUUCUACAACCGGAUAUUAACAAAUUCCCAUAUGCCCAUAACCGCGGGCACAACUUUCGAAAGUUAAAAACCCUGCAGGGGUAUCCCAACUUAGCCCAUCACAAGCUCUCACAGUCAACGAAGGAUAUUCCUUCUCCCAGGAAGUACCGAUUAGACUCGGAAUCCCAGUUACAAGACAUUUCAACAAUGGUAAAACAAGACCAACAAAGCCGCCCGAUGUGCCGACAAAUCCCGAUAGGAGUCGCACGUAUCUCGUUCUCAGGGUACACCGGAUGGGCAAGACGUCGGGUUGGCAUAAACCCUGGUUGCCCAGGGGGCGCCGGACAUCACCCAGUUUGGACCAACACUCAAAGGAGCACUGGCCCGGGGUUUUAAAAUAAAGAUGACCCUUGAGUCUGCAGAACCCAAGGGAAAAAGGCUUAGGUGGCAAAUGUUAAAACCAAGGUUGGGCCUUGCUGGAGGAGUUUUAUUCAAAGCGAACUGUCAAGGGGUUCCCAUAACACCCAACCGCGUAAGGAACGCAAAAUCAAGGAACAUAACACCGGUAUGACGGAAACUAGGGCGGCAAGAGUGGAACAAAACACCAGGCAUAAGGCCGAGCCUUCCACCCUUUACCAAGUAUAUAGGUGCAUUAAAGUAAACAAGAUAUAAUAAUGAUAUCCUAACAAAAUCCAUGUUCCAACAUGGAACAACCUUCAUCUUCACCUGCAACUAGCAACUCUAUAAGAGGGGCUGAGCAAAGCAGUAACAUAGCCAAACAACGGUUUGCUAGGAAAGGUUGGUUAGAGGCUUGACAUUGCAAUAUGGGAGGCAUGAUAUUGCAAGUGGUAGGUAUCACGGCAUAGCAAAAGAGCGAGCAACUAGCAAGAAAAUAUAGAAGUGAUUUCGAGGGUAUGGUCAUCUUGCCUGAGAUCCCGCAAGGAAGAAGAACGAGUCCAUGAAGAAGACAAACGGACUUAGUCGAACGAAUCCUCACAAACGCGACCAUCACAUAAUCAUGACAAACCAACCCGAAGAAGCAACACCGGAAAGAAGCAAACAACAUGGUAAACAACCAUCACAUAAUCAUGGCAUGAUGCACAACCAAGUAUGAUGCAUGUCUGGCUUAAAGAGGCAUGGAAUGUCAAAAUGCACAAACAGAACUACAAGUUAAGUGGAGCUCAAUAUGCAGCGAGUUGCAUAUUGACGAAACACCACAACAAUUGUUUAGUUCUCUCCCGUUUAAGUACUCAACAAGAUUAAAUGUUGGUUAGCAUGUCAAGGGGUGAAGCAUAUAAAAACUACCUAUCUAGGCAAGUUCAAAUGAGGCCGGAUAUAACAAACAACAAAUCCGUAAAAUCCCCAUGUGCAAAAUGUGAAUUUGGUAUUGUUCUGACCUAAACCAUAUUUUAGAGUUGCUAAACAUGCAAUAUAAGUACAUCAUGUUAAACUAGGCAUUUUUCUACCCCAUUUACAUAUAAAGUUUAUUAAAUUUGGAGCUACUGUUAUUUAGUUAUGCAAUAAAGCAUUUUAACAUGGCAUUUAUGCGAAAUACAUGCAAACAACAUUUUAAACAUGGUUGAAAGUUGGAUAUUAUGAAACUAGAGAAAAUUCUAGUCAUGUUUCAUAUAUAACUUAUUUUAAUCCGAUGCACGGUUCUAAAGUUAUUAUAUGCAUGAACAUGGAGGGGUUUUCUACAAAAACUACAGUUCUCUAAUUAAUUAGCAAAUUCGUUCGCAAAAAAAAACAGGCACUUGGGCCGAAACUUAACAGGAAGCCCANNNNNNNNNNNNNNNNNNNNNNNNNNNNNNNNNNNNNNNNNNNNNNNNNNNNNNNNNNNNNNNNNNNNNNNNNNNNNNNNNNNNNNNNNNNNNNNNNNNNNNNNNNNNNNNNNNNNNNNNNNNNNNNNNNNNNNNNNNNNNNNNNNNNNNNNNNNNNNNNNNNNNNNNNNNNNNNNNNNNNNNNNNNNNNNNNNNNNNNNNNNNNNNNNNNNNNNNNNNNNNNNNNNNNNNNNNNNNNNNNNNCCUGGGCCUACGGGCCAGAAGCACGCGCGGCUAGUUGGGUCGUUACAACGGAAGCAGGGGAGGGGCCAAGGCUCGGUCAACGCUGGUAGGAUCCGGUCGAGCGGCGCGCUCGCUGCUGCUCGAAACAGCUGGCGGCAACGAAGAUGGAGGCAGGGGCGCCCUGGGUGGCCAAUUCGCCGGCGGCUUGCCGGAGCAAGGACGAGGUGGCGACGUCGUGGCGCCGUUGGAGUGGUUGGAGGCGGCCACGAGCAGGAGGAGCUCGAGGAAGCUGGUCGAUGGGUGGCUCGGCCGCGGUGGAUAACGGCAAGGGCGGCGCUCGGAGGAGGCCAGGGACGCAGUGAGGUCCUCGCUCGAGGACUCGAGCGCGUGGACGAGGACGGCUGCGGCGCUGCUGGUGGCUUGCACGCCAGGGAUGGCGCAGGCCACGACAGAGGAACAAGGGCACGGCGGUUGGACUUGGCGAGUCUUCGACGUGCUGGGAUUAGGCGAACACGAGCAGGAAACGGGAGAGGCAAGGUGCACCAAGGCGGAGGCAGGGUUCCCGGCGAGGAUCAUGUCCGGCGGCAGGCAUCGAACUUCAUGGCGCAGCGGAAUGCUCCUGCUUCUGUUCGAAGGGACAGGAGGGAGAGCAGAGGAGGUCAGAGCGUAGGGGAGGAGCUCAGGAAGGAAAAGAGGAUGACACGAGGUGGAUCCCGGCGGCGGCUCACCGGAGGGUCGACGGGGCUCCAUUUUGUGAUGAGGAUGUGCGGGACAGAGGCGGCAACGGCGGGGUCGAGCUCAGGCCAUGACUUCCCUGGCUUCUGCAUGGGGAGAAACACAGAGAGGUGAGAGAAUCCAGAGAGAAAGAGAAGGCAGGGAGCAGGGUAAGGAGAGGGGCAAUGGGGCAGUGGUCCGGUUCUUGUCGUCGGUGGUGGUCUCCGGCAGCAGGUUGAGAUCCUGCUCGAGGAAGGAGGCGCGCAAGGGGCUGGCUACUUGUGGCCGGAAAACACGGCAGGUUGUCCGAGGCGGGAGAGGAUCUAGAUCGGGUGCACUCUGGUUGGUCUGGUGCUGAAGACGAGGUGGAGCGGUGGUUGGCCGAUGGGGAUCUGGGAGGAUCUCGAUGGAGAUGGUGAGUGGGUGGCGGCGGCGCGAUGGGAAAAGUUGGAUGGGACAGAUCCUAGGACUAGGGUUUGGACGCAUAUAUACAUCGCGUGGAUUAGAUUAGGGGCUACCUUGUCCCUCCGACUAUAAUCGGGCGGACGAGAAUAAAUAGCUUAGGGGAGCCCAACAAAGAAUCGGAGAUGUUUUGUAGAUGUUUGGGGAUGAUCCGGACCAAACGGUGACGACUGUCUGGGUCGGGCUCGGGGAAGUUUUCGGACGCACGUGAAGAGAGCCGCGGGCUGACGAUAGAGGGGGGUCUUACAAAAGGCCACAGAGGCAGGGGUUUGAUGGGCUGGUUUAGAGUGGAAGUGGGCUGUGAAGAGAGAAGAGAAGGAGAGCAGCCCGGCAACUGUUUCCGGAGACCGAAAACGCCCGACGAUAGACUAGCUACUAUUGCCGCUAUAGUUUAAUGUUUGGGCUAUCAAACGAACUCCGAAUGCGAUGAAAUUUGACAGGCGGUCUACUGACAAUAUAACAACACCGCAUGUCAACUUCCAACCCAUUCCGAGAACAUUUUCCGGCCACUUAUAAAAUAUUAUUUCGGACAUGCCAUGGGCGCGUGCGAGUGUGUCUGGACUCAGAACGGACAACGGAGAGAACGAGGAGACCAGGACGGAUGCAAGUUUUGAAAACAUGAUGAUGCAAUGCACAUGAUGACAUGACAAGAUGCAACACGCAAUCGAAUGACAUGGCAACAACAGCGAAUAACUGGAAGACAACUGGCGCAAUGGUCUCAGGGAGUUACAACACUCCACCACUACGAGAGGAUCUCGUCCCGAGAUCUAGGAUGGCACCGGUGAGAAAACGGAAGAGGAAGAGAAAAAGUAAAACUAAGUUGCUUCUUUGACAAAUGAGGGAAACCAAAGAACCUUGCGAGGUUGAACAAUUUGAAAGAAAGAAUACAACGAAGAUGAACAAAGUUGAAAACACUCCGUUAGAAAAGAGGAACGCGGAAGAACAAAUUCGGGCAGCACUCCGGUUGAAAAGAGAUGCAAGACUUGAUAAGGCGAAAGAACUUGAGCAGAGGACACAACACUCCGGUUAAAUGGAUAAGCAUGAAAAGAACACGAUCCUCAGAAAUCGGGAUGAAGAGAGAAAAGAGCAACAUCACAAUGCCUCCGGAUGAAGGAAUAGAAGGUAGAUCGUCGGAACAAAAUAAUGGAGAAGAAAAAGGCAACUUCUACCACAAAUGAGUUUGGAAAGCACCCUUCCAAGAAGGGUAAAACAGAGUUGUUGGAAACCAACAACGAAAAGAGUAAGCUUGUUGUGGGCUUAUGGACAACAUCUCGAAAUCUUGAGGUCAAAUUCUGCCACUAACGGAAAACAAUAGAUUAGAUUGAUAUCAACAAGUAGACGAGAAGCUUAUUUCAUCGGGAGGAUAACUAAAGAACUUGAGUCAUUUAUAAGCACCAUAAAUAGUAACAAUCCUUAGGGAAAGCUUUAGGCGAAAUCUCACCCAAGAUAACUCCAAUGAAGAUAUUGAUGGGUUUAAUUAUCUCAUUCUUAACAACUUGCGAAUCAUGACACACGAAGGGAAAUUGUCAAGAGUGUCAUAAAACCACCUCAAAAGGUAAUGUAGGAAGAAUUGCACUCCGGAUUGCAAGAUGAAGAAUGCUAGAGCUCCUCUGUCAAGAAUCUUGAUGAACACUUCGAGAAGGGAUUUAAGUCCUUGAUGAACCAACAAGUACAGCCUCCAUGAAGAACUCCGGUAAUAAAAGAAUGAUCAAAUGAAAGGGACAGUUAAAAAGAACUCCAGGAGAAGCCUUGCAAUGAUUAGAUGGAGCCUCAUGAUGAUGAGAGUUUGGAACUCCGGAAGAAAUAUAAAGCACCUCGAACCGAGAAUGUGAUAUGAUGAACCACUUCGGAAUGAAGAAACUAGAUCACUUGGAUGAAACAAUAAUAAGAAUUACGUUAUGCAUAUCCUUCACCAAUUAAAUUGAUGACAAGCAAUGGAUUUGGCAUACUACUUAUUGUCGUAGAAAGGAUUCAGGAGAGAUAUAGCGUAAUCUUGAGAAGGUCUUCAACUAUCCACCAGUAGGAUUUGAAAGAACGAAUGAAUUGCUAUAAUAAAAACGAAAGAGAAUUCUUAAAUGAACCAUCAUAAGAAUUGAAAAUGAAAAAAAGAAAAGAUAAAGAAACACUGGGAAGAAUUAGAGAACGAAUGAAGACACUUGAGGGAAUUUAGAUACAUGAGAACGAAGAGAUCACCAUCUGAUUAGAGAAAACUUGAACGAUGCACCGGUAUGAUUUGGAGAACAACAGAUGAAAGUUGGAAUGAAUAAUUAUGAGAUGAUGUGCUCCGGAGAAUCAAACUGAAAAGACUCCUGAAUUGCUCCGGAUGGGUGAAAAGAAUUCUCACAAUUGAAAACAAUUAUGAGAGGAUGGCAUGAAGUUAUAACCAUGAAUCUUCAAGAGAACAUAUAUGAUUGAAGAGAAACUCAUCUUCGGUCUUCAAAUCCAAGAAUGACGAUGAGAAACACCAUCAAGAAUUGUUUAGACACUCCGGGAGAAUCAAAAGCGAAGAGGUUCAUCCAACGAUGAGAAGAGUUUGAAAGAUCUUGGAGGAAGACAUAUGACUGAUGAUAACCCAUUCUUACGUCAAAAAUUGAAAAGAAUUUGAGAAGCUCCGGGAAAAUUAGAAGAGUCAGGUAAGAUUAUUGGAAAAGACCUGUGGGUUAGGGUCCACUCAAAAGAAACACCUUUGGACGAUUUAAAAGAGAGGUUGUAGCGGUUGAAUUAAAUGGCUUGAAUAAGGUAAGACCUCGAAAUAGCUUGAAAGGACUACGAAUAGAAACUUAAAUCUUCUGGGAUAUCUUCAGCACUCCAGAACAAUUGAAUAGCGAGAAGUGAAUGAUUAAGAGAUACACUGACAUGAGAAAAUAUUUGAAAUGAGGAAAAGGAUAAGAUUGACAAACCUUGAAUUGAAUCCACCAGAGAAGAAAACAGAAUGACGGAUGAUGAACUUGAAGCGCCGUUAGUAUCUUCAUGAGAAUGACCGGAUAAGAACACUGAAAGAGAGGAGUAAAGAGGCUUCACAUCCAUAAGAUGGAUACUUGAUAAAGAAAUCCGAGUCCUUCAUGAAAAAGGGUGGGAGGGCGGGAAAACAAAGGCAACUUGGGCGGAUGGACGAACACCGUUGGGAAAACUGAGAGGUGGUCUUGCGAAUGUUGACAUGAUCAGAUCCACUUGAAGAGAAAGACAUCAUUUGGGAAUGUAUUGGCAUGACCACCUUGUUGAUCGAAAAGUGUUAGUAUUCCCAUAGAAAUAUGAGAACACCGCUUAGGGAAGGUAUGGAAUCAACACUUGACUUCGAAGGAACUCGAAUACCACAAAUCAAAACAAAAACAAAGGAUUGGCUUGCAAAAUAAGCCGAAAACAAACAUAUGGUAGAUCCCAUAUCGUAUCAUGUGUCUGUUGGAAAGAUAUUCUAGGAGCUACUUGAAUUCCCACUUAUAAACACCCGAAACUUUCUGGUUAUGCAAUCAGGUGUUGGGGACACAGGGGAAGCAUAAUAUCUCACCCAAACUAACAAAUCCUACAUCCACCUGUAUCCAUCCUUCAACACAUAACCAAGAAACCUUCGGAAAUCAUUUACCUCAACCUUCGAAAAGCAUCUGUUAUACCAGUUAUGGCAAUACUCCCGAACUACCGCCCCAGUACUAGGUGGCGUCGAGGUUAUCUCACCAACAACUGCAUAAAAGAGAUUUUCGAUGUCAGCGAACUCAGGUAUUCCAGAACUGCAAUGAUAAAAUUGUGACGACAACACCUCGGAGCUCAACUCCUCGGGACACUGCCACAACCCCUAAAUGUCAGGAGGCACCAAGAACAAUGUUCUCGUCAAAAAACUAUCGGAACGAUUCCAAGAUACCCGCAUGAUCCUAAAAAAAAUUCAUGAAAUUUGAGGAGAGAAGAGUCAAAACUCUACGUCAGGAGGCCUCACGAGAGCGACGAAGGGACCGAGGAGUAAAAAGAAUCCUGCUCUCCGAUAUAUAUAAUCCUAUAAGACUCAAAACAUUUUGUUCUAGACUCAACAACGUCAGCGAUUCGAUCAAGCAGGGGGCUCCUAAGUCGGGGAAGGCUCUGAUUAACAACUUGUAACACCCACGAUGUGGCUAUAUCUCCCACGUGUCGGAGCACGACUUAGAGGCAUAACCGCAUAGUGGGCAUGUCGCAAGAGGGGUAAUCUUUACACAUCCCAUGUACUGAAUACGAAAGGGAUAAAGAGUUGGCUUACAACCACCACUUCACACAAUACAUAAAUAUAGCAUUACAUCAUCCAAAAUACAAUCAAGGUCCGACUACGGAACCAAAUAAAGAAAGACAACCCCAAAUGCUAGAUUCCCGAUCGCCCCAACUGGGCUCCUCUACUAAUCGAUCGGCAAUGAAACAACACAACGAACAAGAACUUCAUCGAUCUCCCACCUUAGCUGGGUUGCGUCACCUGCACUGGUAUCAUCAGCACCUGCAACUGUUUGGAAGUAUCUGUGAGCCACGAGGACUCAGCAAUCUCACACCCGCGAGAUCAAGACUAUUUAAGCUUAUGGGUAGGAAAGGGUAGUGAGGUGGAGCUACAGCAAGCACUAAGCAUAUAUGGUGGCUAACUUACGCAAAAAAGAGCGAGAAGAGAAGCAAAUCACGGUCAAUAAGCUAUAAUGAUCAAGAAGUCCUAUAACUACUUAUGUUCAAGCAUAACACGAUACCGUGUUCUCUUCCCGGACUCCACCGAAAAGAAACCAUCACGGCUACACAUGCGGUUGAUUCAUUUUAAUUAAGUUAAGUGUCAAGUUUUCUACAACCGGAUAUUAAAAAAUUCCCAUCUGCUCAUAACCGCGGGCACAACUUUCAAAAGUUCAAAACCCUGCAUGGGUAUCCCAACUUAGCUCAUCACAAGCUCUCACGGUCAACGAAGGAUAUUCCUUCUCCCAUGAAGACCCGGUCAGACUCGGAAUCCCGGUUACAAGACAUUUCGACAAUGGUAAAACAAGACCAACAGAGCCACCCGAUGUGUUGACAAAUCCCGAUAGGAGUCGCACGUAUCUCGUUCUCAGGGCACACCAGAUGGGCAAGACGUCGGGUUGGCAUAAACUCUGGUUGCCCAGGGGGCGCCGGACAUCGCCCAGUUUGGACAAACACUCGGAGGAGCACUGGCCCGGGGGUUUAAAAUAAAGAUGACCCUUGAGUCUGUAGAACCCAAGGGAAAAAGUCUUAGGUGGCAAAUGUUAAAACCAAGGUUGGGCCUUGCUGGAGGAGUUUUAUUCAAAGCGAACUGUCAAGGGGUUCCCAUAACACCCAACCACGUAAGGAACACAAAAUCAAGGAACAUAACACCGGUAUGACGGAAACUAGGGCGGCAAGAGUGGAACAAAACACCAGGCAUAAGGCCGAGCCUUCCACCCUUUACCAAGUAUAUAGGUGCAUUAAAGUAAACAAGAUAUAAUAAUGAUAUCCUAACAAAAUUCAUGUUCCAACAUGGAACAACCUUCAUCUUCACCUGCAACUAGCAACUCUAUAAGAGGGGCUGAGCAAAGCGGUAACAUAACCAAACAACGGUUUGCUAGGAAAGGUGGGUUAGAGGCUUGACAUGGCAAUAUGGGAGGCAUGAUAUAUCAAGUGGUAGGUAUCGCGGCAUAGCAAAAGAGCGAGAAACUAGCAAGAAAAGAUAGAAGUUAUUUCGAGGGUAUGGUCAUCUUGCCUGAGAUCCCGCAAGGAAGAAGAACGAGUCCAUCAGGAAGUCAAACGGACAUAGUCGAACGAAUCCUCACAAACACGACGUUAUCGGAACCAACCCGAAGAAGCAACACCGGAAAGAAGCAAACAACAUGGUAAACAACCAUCACAUAAUCAUGGCAUGAUGCACAACCAAGUAUGAUGCAUGUUUGGCUUACAGAGGCAUGGCAUGUCAAAAUGCACAAACAGAACUACAAGUUAAGUGGAGCUCAAUAUGCAACAAGUUGCAUAUUGACGAAACACCACAACAAUUAUUUAGUUCUCUCUCGUUUAAGUACUCAAAAAUACUAAAUGUUGGUUAGCAUGGCAAGGGGUGAAGCAUAUUAAAACUACCUAUCUAGGCAAGUUUAAAUGAGGCCGGAUAUAACAAACAACAAAUCCGGAAAAUCCCCAUGUGCAAAAUGUGAAUUUGGUACUGUUCUGCCCUAAACCAUAUUUUAGAGUUGUUAAACAUGCAAGAUAAGUACAUCGUGUUAACUAGGCAUUUUUCUACCCCAUUUACAUAUGAAGUUUAUUAAAUUUGGAGCUACGGUU
rnacentral:lncRNA from 1 species